rnacentral:lncRNA from 1 species
CCUGGACCACACAUAUUAUUUAUUUGGUAUAAACCCUGUAAUAGACCAUACAAAUCAAAAUAGAACCAUACCAGUACAGAACCAGAAUACUGGAUGGUACAAACCUGUAUCGAAUAGUUUACCUUGUGCGUCGGAUUUACCUGGUCCGCAUCCAUAUUGAAUCGUAUUGCAAACCUAAUAACAAGGAAAAGAAGAAUUAAACAAUCAGGAAAGAGAGCUUUCUUCACUGGGGAACAUAGUUCAGACUCUCGGUAUGCAGACAAUAAAUGUCAUAACUAAAGAAACUUCCAUGCAAGGUAAAGUCUCAUACAUACCCUGCAAACCAAAGCUAACUUUUAUGGAUGUCAGAACAAGAACAGAAAAGAUUUUGCAUAAUUUUCAAAGGAAAAUUGGACCUUUAAUGACUAUUUGCAUGUGAAUGUUCCAACCGAAAUAUCAAGUUUUUGCUCUGUGUUGAAAAGCAACAGUCAAUAGCACACAGUAUCUUGAAAUAAAAUGGACAAGAACAAAAACAUUUUAAUCUCAAUGUAACCUGUGGCAUAUGAUGAUUUGUGCAUUGCAUGUGAUGGAGGACCGAGAGACAUAUUAGCCAAAAAUUACUACUGAAGGUGAUGCUUCAAACAAGGUAGUAAUAUCCUACAUUAGAGUGAUCCAUAUCAACUAUGACAUAUACAAGUCAAACAUGUAUCCAAGGAAAACUUUAACAGACAAAUUCAUCAGAACACAUUAAUAGUUUAAGGUUUCUCUUGGGCCGAGAAACAAAGAGAGAUCCACUACAAGAUGAUCCAAGAACUCUCUAAAAGGACAAAGUGAGAUGCACUGCAAAUGUUGUCACAUCUAUAGACCUCAAUCUGCUGGAAAGAACUUAUUGAGAUUUAGUGGCAGCCGGUAGAAUUCCUCACUUCUCGGAUCCCCCUUGUAGGAUCGGAACUUGUGCCACCAAUGAAGCCCCCUGUCCUUUCUUACAGCGCUGUCAUGCCUAUGGAGACUAUUGUCCAAGAAAAAUGCCACAAACCCCGCGACAAAUGGCUUCGAAGAGAAUAUCACAUUAAUGAUAUCGUUGAACUAGAGAAAAGAAAGAUUAUCAAUAUAAUGGCGAUGUAAGUUUAUGAAUGAAAAUACAAGAGUUCAAGAUGUGAACUAUAAUAAUGUGUACCCAUCUUGCUCCGGUGUGGACUGGACCAUAUCCGGCAACAGAAGUGUAUUCAUUGAAGUACUGCGGAACUGACAACCCCAUGAAAAAAGAGAAUCCUAGGAUGAAUUUAGUACGGAAGCUGUUAAGAUUGCAGAACUGAAGGAAACUAAGACCACCAGCACCUGCAGAUACAUUACACCAUGAAUCCCAAGAACAUCUAAAAAUGUUUGAUAAGUAGAUGAUUUUGUUACAUUGUACAUACCAACAUAUGCGAAAAGAAGACAGUAAAGAGCCGCAAAAAUUGGUGCAGGAAUGGAUGCAAAAACUGCUCCAAAUUUCCCUGCCACAAAGAAAAAUGUGAUCAGUCAAAUUGGUAAUGGAACCAUUUAAACAACUGAUUGCAUUCCCGCAUCAUUUCAUCCAAUUCAUUAUGGCUCAUCAUAAAACAUAUGCAUGUUCUAGUGCCAUUCUGUGAGGCAAUUUUAAGAGAUCAAAAACCUUGAAGUACAGUGCAAUUUACUUCAUGUUGCAACUUCUCUGGAGUGAUUGAUAGGUGCUGCAAUGCUGGAGGUAAUCAGUGACAGGAGGGGUUAUUUGGGUAUUAAGGAGAGAAGGGAGAAAACAUACAGGAAGAGGGAGCAAGAGCAGAGAGGAAUUUAUCCACAAGGCUACAUUCAUGUAUUCGAAUAGAUAUAUAAUAGAUAUAAAAAGGAGAUAUAAAAGGCUACAUUCAUGUAUUCGAAUUUAUCCAGAAGGUCCACAACCCAUUAUAAUAGAUAUAAAAAGGAGAAAUAUGCUUUUCGAAAUAGGAAACUAUCUAUGUAUUCGAAUUAUGAUAUCGAGUAGAGUGAUGAUGGAUAAACAGUAACAACUAAAAACAUUAAACUUUAUCUUUCCUUCACAAAAUAUGAUAGCAACCAGACCCACUAUGCUAAUUCAUCCUAUUUAGAUCUUCAUAAUCAAGACUCACAAGGUACUAGAUUCCUUUUUGGACAGGUGAAAUGAGAAAAAUAAUGGACUGCUGACAGAUGUCGGUCAUCUUCACUUUGACCUGAUCCACUUUACGAAACUUCAACGCCGAUAUCCAAUUUCUAAAACUUCGUAGUACGAGUGAGUGUUGACAUUAACUGAUUAUAUUGCCAGCUGUACCUACUAGGUCACUCCAUAUCCAACCGUUCAGCGCAUCAUAUAGAACCAUAUUCCAAGAAGAUAAGUUGGCCACUAUCAGCUUCACAUUCACGGAUUUUGGUACAACAAACAAGACAACCGACAUCUAACUGCCUUUGUUAUGUACAAACUUUGUGUGGCAGCAGAGUGUCGUGUAUCACUGCAGACAAAAGCUCUAGAAUGUGAACAGCUUACCAAGAAUGGAAAAGAAAAUCAUGAAUCCUGCAGAUAUUUGCACAACUCUCCGGCUGCCAACACGUGUCAAAGCCAGUAAACCAGCAUUUUCACUGCACACGUGAAAUUUAGAGCUUUAGAACAAAGGAAACAUUUUUCUCAGCCCUCAUUAGAGCAUGCUAUAAAAGUUAGAUGCAAGACAUAAUCCUUACACUGACACUGAUGUACCAUUUGCUGUUCCAAAUAAUCCAUCCAACAAGAUAGCAAUACCCUGAAGUAGUAAAUGGUUAUGAUUUCAGAAACCCAAAAGAAAAGAAAAAUAAAUCUUCUGCUACUUCAAAGGAAACAGAGAUGAAACUCCCACCUGCCAGCCAAUGCCUCGACUGAGAACUGAAGGAGGCACUGGUGUAGCACUUGCAUACCUCGCGACUGCCGUAAAAGUGCCAGUAGACUGUACAAUUACAGACAUGUUAUAAAAGGUAAUCAGCCAACUCCACAGUUGUAAACAGUAAGAGAAAUGUGUUCCUACCUCUACAAGGGCCACAAAUGAAGCUGCCAUCAUUGCAAAAGCUUCACCAGCAUCAAAAGUUGGUGCUCCCCAUUGAAAGGGAUAUGGAACUCUUAUCCUAAGAAUGGAAGUAAAAUUACAGACAACAAAAGAUAAAACUCCAGUCACUAAGGGCACAUUUUUAUGUCAUUAUAAUAUUACUAGCAUUCAGUAUAAAUCUGAAAAACAAGGAAAUGGAAGCUUACCAGGGAGCCCCACCAACAAGUCCAGAACGAUCAGUACGGCAAUGCAAUUGUGUCUUUGGUGGGGCAUGCCUGUAUGCCCCACCAACUGUAAGCAGGUAUGCAUAUAGCCACACAAUUGUAAUUGAAAAUAUGACAGCAAAUCUAUCAAAUACGGACCUCUCCGAAUGUAUAGCAUGAGGAACGUACUGAAGACAUAAAAGCAAGCAAACAUGAUUCCUUUAAGUAAUGUAUAAUUGCGAAUGAUGUGGAUGUAUUUGUACAAAACAAAUGAAUGAAUUAUGCAUUUGGUUGCAUGGUCAUUCUUCAGACUGUAUCACCUGUGAAAAUGUCACUAACAGGAUAAUCACUGGUAGGCCAACCUCAACACAUUUGGCAACCUGCAUAGCCAUAAAAAAUUAGGUUAGUAGUGAAAAUUAAGAGAGAGCAUUUAUUGGAAGGAUCAGAAUCUAAUAAAAGAAAACCAUGCUUCUCAUAAGAUUCCUUAGGAGUGUCGCAUUAAUAGGAUAUGAACAUAUACUACAAAGUAAAUUAUUACCCCAGGAAAUCCAAGCUCAUAGAGCCCAAACCCAGCUAGUGCAACCAGAGGAACCGCUGACAGGGGACUUAAAUAUCUAAACACAAUUCAAAAGGACGGGGAAAAUAGCACUUAGAAUAAACUCACAUGAUACCACUGGAAAUGAAUACUAGUAUACUGACCUCGUCACAUUACGCCAAAGACCGCUGAAACCAAUAAUAAUUUGAAGCGUCGAAGCGACAAUUAGUGCACCCUGUGUCCCACGCAUGAUAUGCAGGAAUUUCUGCAUGAAAAGAACAUAAAAUUAACUUCUAGAAGAAUGAAUGCAAUAGUGUCAAUACAAUCAAGGUCUUGUAGCAACCUCAUGAGGAUCCACGAUAUUGCUGUAACGCCCAGCUAAGAUGAUUGAUAUGGUAGGAGCUACGAAUGUAUACGACCCUCCCAUCACGGCUGGCAAGCAAGUACCGAAGUAGGUUUGGAGAAGAGUGUUAAUACCAGCCAGAAACAGCAAUGUUUGGACCACCCUCGCUUUCUCAUCCUAGAACAGGGCAAAGAGAAUCAGAUGUUAACAUAAACAAAAUCAAAUUAGGCACCAAUUGUAAAAUGAACCUAAACAACGCUUUAGUUUGAACAAGAGAUUCUUCUUUCUGUGUGUGUAAAUUCUCACAUUUCCUCCCCCCAUCUGAGGAACAAGCGCAGUGGGGAUGAGAACAGUGGUUCCCAGAACGACCAGGUAAUGUUGGAAACCAAGAAGAAUAGCUUCAGCUGCAUCAACAAAACAAAAUUGAGAUCAGGUAACUAUUCUCACAUUGGAUCAUUUUUAUUGAGGAUAAGAGAAGAAAGAUCAUGCACCAUAUUGCAAGUAGGAGAUAAUAAGUACAGUUGUAGGAACAAAAUUACAGUUUUCUUUUUUUUUUUCUUCAUGGCAGGAAUUAUGAACUGUAAAGCAAAAACAAGAAGGAUGAAAGCAGAGACAGAUGAUCCAAAAUUAAGCUUUUGCACAUCGAAUGGGAAAAAAGGAUCAUCACGGAAUCUUUUGUGAGAAAAUUUACACAAUUCACCCACGACACAAAAAAGGAUUCUACAAAGGAUCUUAUAAAAUAUGGAAAAAUCAGAGAAGACUAGGCAUAAAUCGAAGAAUAGUGAACAACAGAAACACAGCCUGCUAAUAGAAGUUACAAAAAUGAUUAAAACAGGCACAAGAGCGGUGGCCAAAAAAAGCAUCAAAAUGGUGGGGGAAAAUAGCAUUGAAGCACGGGAUCAAAAACUCAAGGUUAGCACUAAGUGAAUGAAUCAACAUAAGACGAGGAAAAAUAAGAAAGAUAGAAAUGUGAACGACUUACGCCAAGGAGGAGGACUAGUGAUGCAGAAGGAAACAUUGGGCAACUGGUCCUUCACGGGGUGCGGCACCAACUCCUCCUGCUUCGGUGGCGGCGCUGGUCCGGCCAUGUCUCUCCUCUUCUCCCUUCGAUUCUUCCUCAAAAACCUACUUCAAGAACGCUAUAAACGCCCUUAAACCUCACUCCCCCAACACACAUUCGCACCACGACCAAAAGAAGCAACCUCUCUCAAAAGAUUUCUCGGCAAACUUCAAGAUCUAAAGGAUUUAAGCGUCAAGAUCCAAUCUUUCACCAGCCAAAAGGCGAAGAACAGCAGUCGCAGUCCCACCAGAAGAUUCUACAAGAAAAAGAGAAGAGAGGGAAGAAGUAGCAGACGGCGCGACUCUCCACCAGCGGUGGAACAAAAGACUGGGAAAGGAGUCAUGAAGCGUUCCCCAGAUGGCUAAAAAAGCACGCAAGCACAUCAAAAUGUCCCCUUGCCCCUCCCUCGCUUUCUCUCUCCUCGGUGCUCAGGCGAAUCUUCUGCAAGCUCUGCUUUUUAUUUCUUGUUUCCUUCGUGUUCAGCUCUUCAUGCCUUCUCAACCCAUUUGCUGCCUAGCUGUCUUCAGCAGCAAGCAAAACACUGCCACCUCUUCACACUCUCCGGUCUCCACACUCCAAGAAAGGAAGACAGGAAGAAUGGCAGAAGCCAAAAGAGAGAUAAUAUUAAAUAGGUGAAAUAAAGAAAAAGGAGUAUCAAAAGUGAAGAAAAAGAUUCCAAAAUAAAGAAAGCGAAGGAAAAUAUUAGAAUUUCUGCCCUCCAUUGCCGAGCAAGGUGGUCUCCACGCUUCAAUGCUUCCAACAGAGUCUUGGUCUCAGAGCAGUGUAAAAAUUGGAUUUCUGCCACUGUCGAAAGUGGUGUUUAGUCUGCUUUCAAGAAUCUAAAUCGAAAUUUGAUCUAAAGUCAAAAUUAGAAUCUGAUUCAGAUAAAAUAAAAAUGAGGAUACUCAAAUCCUGCAACAUGUUUGGUUUAUGCAUACAUGAACUGAAAAUGCAAACAAUAUCUACUUUGUUUUCUUUUCUUUUAUGUUACAUUUAUAUUAUAUUCUAGAAUUGUUUGCCUCAAAUUAAAAGAAGAAUUUAAAAUGCCCCAAGAUUGAUAAUUGAGAUCAUAUUUCUCUCGAUCAAAAGAACAGGAAUAAGAAUCACUAUUUUAUAUUUCUGUUAAAAUCUUCAAAACUGGUGAAGCAAAAUGGUAAGUGUUCACAAGACAAAUAGGAAACUGCACAUCCUCCUAUAUAACGCCUGCAAAUGUAACUUGAACUUUUUGUACUUUCACUGCAAGAUUAAUAUGCAACAUCUCCAUACACAACCACAAAGCAUUAGCAACAUAAUGGAUGUCCUUUCCAGUGUAAUGAGUUUGCAAUUUACCAAUAUACGAUCAAGACGCUAUGAUAACUAUAUGCAGAUUUCCAGUUUUAGCAAAGGUAUUUGAUACCUUCACAGGGACAUUUAUUUUGGGAAGAAACUAAGAACAUAGCAUUUGAAAGAAACCAAGGACGAGGAAAUUGCUUUAAAAGUGUUUCUUCUAAUUAGUAAAUAUGUUUAUGUAGAAAAGUUAGGAUCAAGCAGGCAACCACCACAUUCCCCUUCUCUGCUGGCUGGCUGUCACCAGCCACAACUCAAAUCAUUGAGGAACAGACAAAUUUGCAGGUUAAAAAGUGUCAAAAAGAACAGGAACAGGGUAGAAAAACAGUCCCUUUCAUUUUGAAGAAUAACCUUCGUACCUGCUGGGUUUCUCUAUCAACUGUUCAUGCCCAUAUGUUCUUUGCUUAGAAACAUGACCUUUGGAUUCUUUUGUCUUCUCCCCCUAACCAUAUAUGCUCAAUAUGUUCUUUGCUUGGAUGCAUGUGAUUGAAAGGGAAGGGGCUCCAUCCAUGCAACCUUUUGUUCAUGCACCAUGCAGUCCGAAAUUUCUAGUACUCUUUUUCUGUAAAGAUUUCUAACACAACAGUACUCCAUCCACUAAGCUUUUCCUAUACAGGAAAAUAUACCAUGCAAAUAAUUCAACUUGUGGAUGGCUAUGUUUUGUAUGCAUAUGCUUGAUGACAAAAGAAAUUUGGUUGUACAUUCUCCACCUUGCCAAGAGGAUGGACCACUCAGUAGCAUAGAAGAAUCACAUCAUCACUCUUGGCUAAGUAUUCUUAUCAAUGUAAAAAAUCGUGGUGAAAACACUCAAAAAUGCAUGAAUGAAUGUAUUAUAACAAUACUAACAACCAUCCUUAAGCUGCAUUUUCAUGAUAAUAAUAUAAUUUUCUAUUGAUUGUCAGUUGUCUAACACAAUCCUUCACUAUUUUCAUUUGAGUUUGGGACCAACAUAGAUUGUGUUAAUCAUCUAAAAAUAAGAGAAAAAAAAGAUUAGAUAUGUGCAUAAAUCCUCUAUAAAUAAGAUAUAAGAGAAUGUUUGGUUGACUAGACUUUCAUAUUUGACCAAACUAGGAGGCUACAAUUAGAAAAUUGUGAUAUAUUGAAGUUAGAUAUUAUACAUAACCUGGGACACAGAGGAUCUCUGAUCUUUUUGUGUGUUUUUUUAAAUAUAAUUCAAAUUUUUUGUUCUUUUAGAUAUAGUUGGAGAGCAUACAAGAAUCACUGACAUAAAUCUAUUUGUUGGUUAGAUAUUAAGGAACAUAAUAGUCCUUAUUCAUGGAUCUCAUCUGGCCCCAAACCUGACUCAUACUUUUCAAGUUUCAGUGACAAUGCACACAUUUAUUCUGUGUUACUUUUGACUCAUGUUGAUGAGCAUCCAAUACCCAGAAUCAACUUUCAUGUCCAAGCAUGGCAUCCGGGAAAACUUCCUCCUCACUCACCAAAAGAGAGAGGGGAGGGGCACCAUCACAUCACAUCACAUCACAUGCUUAUCCAUGAUUUCAAAGAUUGCAUAGAUAUUUGAAUUCAUCUAAAAUUAAGUUCAGAUAUCUAUUUUCAGCAUUUAAUCAUUUAAAUGCAACACCAAAAAUAUCUCCUUGUAAAUGUAAGCAUUUAAUCAUCAUAAUAAUAUCUUUACAGGAUCUAAAAAGUGAGGAUAUCAAAUGAACAAGAACAUACUGAGGAAGUUUAACCAUAUUGACAAUAUAAUCACCUAAUUUAUUAUGUCGAUCUCCUCAACUUUACAACAGCAGAAUCUCAUUGUUUCAUAAAGAAUUAUUUCUAACAUUUGGUGAAGGUAAGAUGUAACCCUAUUGAAACUAAUUAAUUUUUCUCUCCUCUCUCUAUAUGAGACCAAUUGUUUCCCACUUCUAACAUUCUGAUGCUUGGCCUCCAUUUUGAUACUGUUGGCUUGUGUUCACAGAGUUCAUGUACUGAGUUCGGAAGUUUCAUAUACUUGAACCAUAUGGUAUAGUGAUAGGAAGACACACCGAUGGUUUGGGUGAUUGUGGUGAGCAACUGCGAGCCUAUGGGCAGGCAGCGAUGAAGGCCACGGGGAGCAUCAAGGGCGGCAGCAUGAAACACGACCUGCGUGCGGCGGUGCGCGAGGGCAGCAGGCGCCCGGGGGAUGGUGGUGGCUGUGUGGAGAGGAACGCUGCACGAUCAGCAUCCUAAUUUUGACUCCAAUUUUGAGUCAAAUUCUCAUAAAUUCUUCUCCACGAUGAAAAAUUAGUGUCGAUUCAGCUAAGAAACUUUGUCUUCUCUUCUCUCAAAAAUACCCCAUAGGGCAUUAAACUAAAGCUCGAUACAGAUUGACCAAAUUCAAACAAUGCUUGUGUUUAGCCAAAGGAAGCAACUUCGUUAGUAUGUUUGUCGGGUUGUCAGCGACAUCAAUUUUGUGAAGAAAAACUUCCUUUUAGCGAUUUCUUUAUGACUAAAAUGAUACUCGAUAUUGUUAACAAUCUUUGGUUUGAUUGUCGUUAUGCAUGAUGACAUCUUUUUUUAUGAUUUGUAUUUGUAUACUUUUUUUUGAAGAGAGAGUAGCUCUCCGCUCGACAAUAGCAUCGACAUCAAUAUAAUCGUUUCAUUGCUUUGUAUUUGUGUUAGUGUCGACGCAGGUACCGAGUGGUGAAAGGACUACUCGAUAACAAUGUCAAUGCUGACGCAGAUGUAAAGCGACGAAAUGAUCGCUUGACAUCUACAUCAACGUCGAUACAAAUGUAAAACGGCUCUCAUCUCUUCUCGUAGCUCUUUUCAUCCACAACAACUAUUCAUAGUCUCCAACGAUACUAUUGUUCAUUAUCAUUGAUGUCGUCCGUUAUUAUUAACUAGAACGUUAUAAUUAUUUUUUUGUCUAUUAUUUUUAUGUAUUAAUUUUAAUAUAAAUUUAUUAAAAUGUAUGGAUCAAAAUGUUAAGAAAGUCUAACUAAAAAUGAUGAUAUGUAAUUAGCCCGACAGUCGAAACAGAGACCCGAUUAGAUCGAUGGAUUGGAUCAAGAACAGGACGACACAGAAUCUAGAGGUAGAUGACCGACGGAGCGAUGUAUUGUGCUCUGAGUGCGAGCACGAACAAACAGGCCCGCUGUUCCAGCUUUGGGCCCUCCCAAGGCGGAAUUAGAUGCAGCUCGUUCUUAUGCUCAUAGGCUUCCGACAGCAAUGCCAUGGCGGAAACAAUGAGGAAAGCUCUGAGAAUUAUCAGUAGCCUUCCGGUCUUUUGCGGCUUCUCGGGGCUCCUGAAGAAGAUGCGCCGUUGUGCUGUGGCAAGGAGCUUCCCAAAUGCAAACAAGGACCAAGAAAGGGAGGAAAGAGCCCUCUGAAGCUCGAGGAGCAGAAGCCAUGCGAGUUGCCUUUGAUUCUUAGCUCUUCCCUUCUCUGACAAGGAUGAUGUGUCCGUUCCACCAGCUUCUAACGUAGAGUAGCUGUGUGGAUUCUCCAUUGCCACCACCACUGAUGCUGGAACCAGUAGCACAGUGCUUAUUGCCUUGCAUGAAGCACCAUGAACCUUCUUUCUUGAUGAUGAUUGAAGGAAGAUGACACUGAAACAAACAACCAAGUCUCUCCUAAGAUAUAAUCCAGGAAGAAGAACAAGAUUCUGUCAGGAAUUCCAAGUAACUACAGAAUGCUGUGACAAAAAGGAAGAACAUGAGCAGCUGAAAGAAUAUAUUCAAAGGGAAAAUAAGAACCGAUAUUUACAGCAAUGGAGGUUGGGUUGUAGGGAUCUAACUUGGCCUUACAUCUAUAUUUUUGUACUCAGAUGAACAAAUAAACAAACCAAAUGUAGCAGAAAAAUAACAGCACUUUUUAGAUUAUGUCUCACAUCCAGAAAACUGGGAUCUGAUGAUCCAUCUAAUGACUAUGACUCAAACUACAAUAAUAAUUUUAAUUAAUUGUUUUUUAAACCAGCCUAACUCAAUAGUUAUCCAGACAGAUGCUUACAUUUAUUUCACUUGACCAAAAUAAUAACAAAAAAUGAUAUUAUAUUAUGCUCAUAAAACUAAUAUUUUAUGUCUAAAAUAUUAAAUAAUUAUACAAAUGAUAUCACUUUCAAGUCAUGCUUUAUCUGAUAUCAUCGCAUUUAUUUUCAUCUUGGUAAACCUUCAUCUGAUAUCAUCCCAUAUGAGCCAUUCGACGUAUUAUUCCUUUUGUAGCGAUCAAAAUUCGAGACAGGAUAGAUCAGGAUCUACAAUGGGCUUCGGCUUAGCAGACCGAAUCACCCAGCAAACCUUUCCGGGCUGACACGAACCCAAGGAUUGGGUCUGCAAAUUUGGGCCCCCGGCCUAACUCCCAAGAUGAAUUUUCUGGAAGAUUUGAUCAUCAUGAAUCAUCAUCAAUUACAAAUGCUAUUAUUCCGGGAAUUAUCAAUUAAAGUUGAAACCUCCAUCCAAAUCUAAUUAACUGACUGAUUAAAAGGUAUUAUUAUCUUGUAAUAAAUAGAUUUAACAUUAUAUCUGCACUUAUGUUAAUGUCUGUAUGAGUAGGUGUUAAUUGUAAUUGUGACGCAUGACAAUUAAAAUCACUAAUUCACUUACAGCAUGUAAAAGAUUUAAUUGCAUCAUUGCUGUUCCUUACGUGAAUUAGGUCCAUUGGAUACGGAUCCGACCCGAUGGCACCACAGGGUACCGAGGAAAGCGGGGGGGUAAGUCUCGUGCGCAUCGCACCGUGACAUGAUGGUUGGACGCGCACGUUAGCGCCGACCACAAGUCAAACGACCGCAUCCGACCGCUGGCGCACGUUAGCGCCGCCCUCUCCGCCAUCCAAGUUAACUGCGCCGCGUUCCCCUCGUCUCCCUCACGCCCCCUCUUUUUCUUCAUCCCCUUCUCACGAUCCCCCACGGAUCGCAUCCACUUCUUCCUUUCUAUCUCUUUCAUCAGAUCGCGAAACCCGCGACCCAAAUCGCUCCACAAAUACCCUCGAUCCACCAGUCCCUGCGUCACGUUGUCUUCCUCCCAGAUUGAUCGGUCCACCUCCCGAUCUCUCCUUCAGCGUCGAGCUCGAUCCGGCAUAGGUAGGGUCUUUCUUCGCGCGUUCGUUUGUUGCGGGAAACCGCCGUGGAGGGGCUUGCAGACGGUGGAUCUGAAGGCGGGUGUGGCGGUGGCGUGUUACUUGUUCUAGGGUUUGAUUCGGUGGAAUUAUAGACGGGUAGACUGGAGAGGAAUUGAUGGUUGGUGGCGUCGGCGGAGGGAUCGGAGAGGGGACGAUGAAAGGCUAUGCAUGGGCGGGAGGGUGAGGAGAGGAAACGGCGGCGGCACAUGUGGCCGGUACCUGCGCCCGGUACAGCAGCAUCAGCGUCAUCGUCGUCAUCAGCUCCUCCACCUUCUCUAGCUUUUCCGGAGAACCCCUCCUCGGAGUCGGAUUCCUCUCGGUCCUCUUGCGAUUCGUUCCUAAAGGUGUCUCCUUUCGUGUGUUUCAUCCGUCUUUGUGCGUGAAAUAGGGGGAAAUUUUGACUCCCAUUGGUCAAAAUAAUUUAGUUGUUUAAUUCUUUUUUAUUUUUUGGACUUACGGUAAUUUUCGUUAGAUUUUUGCCAAUUUUAUACUUCUUAUGGUGGCUUUGUUGAUACUUUACUCGUUUUUCUUGAUUAUUCAUUACGUUGUUUAGAUUUGCAGCCUUGGACGUUAUUCUUUUAAUUAAUUUGUGCUCCUCUGCUUUUUUUUGGCCUUUUCCUUGUGAAAUAGACAAGAUGGGGCUUUUGAUAGAUUUAACGUAUUUCUGCCUAGAGAGUUAUAAUUUAAGCGGGCAUUAUUUUUUGAAGGAAGUUUUUAGUGUUUGUUGCUGUCGACCUGAAGGAUCCUAUUCCUGGUCAAGGAUGAACUCUCAGACACAGAUGGUGGAUCGUAAUAAGCAUGUUAUGUAGGUGGCUUCUUUUGGAACUUGAUACAUAACUUUGAGGUGAACAUCUGGUAUUUUCGUGUUGGAAAUGGUUUUGAAAUAUGGUUUUGUUAAGCCCGAUGAUUCCUUCCUGGUGAUAUAGAUAGUUCUUGGUAUUUGCGGUUAUUGUUUUGAUACUUAUUAACCAAAAUUUCCUGGCGAGAUAGUCGAGCCUUAUGUGGAUACCAGGAGGAUAGAAUAUUUUUAGCUAUUUUUUGAGUUACAUGAAACAGCUUGGUCCUUGACCACAUUUCUUUCAUUGUUUCAAUCAUGUGGAAAUUGGUUUCCUAUGGAUCCUAUGCUAUUUCAGUUAUGAAGUUGUCUCCACUGAUGGACAAAGCUCAUGGCUCAAAUUUAAGGUCCUAUAACUCUUUCUGGUCUGUCAAUUAGAGAUCCAGUUUUUGAUUGGGCUCAAUUGGUUUUCUAUAAUUAUUUUUAUGGGACUGUUAUAAUACUAGAUUCAUGUGAAACACUGGAGGUCUGUUGUAAUUUUAGCUUAUCCUGAUUCAGUGAAAUAUACAGGAGUUAUAUUUGUCCGGAGUUCCUUCUCUAAAUCUAUAGAUUGUAAUUAAAAAAUAUUAUUAAUCCUGCUUAUCAAUAUAAUCCUUUAGUCCUGCAUCUGAUAUUUGUCUGCUUACAUUUUCUUUCUUAGCAUCAGUGGCAAUUCUUGCUGUACUUUUAGUUCUGCUGCUGUCAGUUUUUCUUUGUUCAGAAUCUUAAGAUUUAUGGUCAUGCAUCUCUGUCUUUUUGGUCAGUGUUUUUUUAUAGAAGUAGUUGUAACCUUUGCUGCUUUGGAAUGGGACUGUGUUAAGAGUUAGUAGAGUUUGACCUUUGCGGCAUGAGAAGGCAUAUUUGCUUUGUUCACAGUUUUGUAUGUAUGUUCGGUCGUGUUUGAAAUGUGGCUUCUAAAGAAGUAUACGUUAACCUGUCUUCAAUAUAUCACACUUCAACAUGUCUAUAUUUUUUGCAAGAAAUGGUCUAUGAUUCACAUUUAAGUUAAUAUCAAAUUUUGUUAACAGCUGAAGGUUGCACGCAACUAUAAUGUUUUACCAUAUUGUUAGAUGCUUUUGAGAAGGUGAAUGAAAACGUCAUUCUUGUUGUUGUCAUAGUCAUGGCAAUUGCAAAAAUGCAUCAGACACUGUCUAUACUUUUGUUUGGGGUAGUUCUUUUGAGUUCUGUUUUACUGUGAGUGUACUCUUUCGUUGCAAAAUGUGGCAGACACUAUCCAUUCUUUUGUUUGGGGUAGUUCUUUUGUAGUUUUGUUUCACUAUUAGUCUACGCUUUCGUGCUGUGGAACCCAUGUUAAUAUGGUUCUCUUUUUUCUUCGCAACAGCCUGUUAAUAUUCUAUAUUUUGCAGGAUGGGCGUAAAAUUCGAGUUGGUGAUUGUGCUCUUUUCCAGGCCGGCAAUGCACCUCCUUUCAUUGGAAUAAUUCGCUGGUUUACAGAAGGCAAGGAGGAUCACCUUCGGUUAUGUGUUAAUUGGCUUUACCGACCUGCUGACAUUAAGCUUGCCAAAGGUGUAUUGCUUGAAGCUGCUCCAAACGAAGUUUUUUACUCCUUCCACAAGGACGUGAUAACUGCAGCUUCAUUGCUUCAUCCUUGUAAAGUAGUGUUUUUACGUAAGGGUGUCGAGCUUCCAGCAGGGGUAUCAUCAUUUAUAUGCAGACGAGUAUAUGACAUUACUAACAAGUGCUUGUGGUGGUUGACUGAUCAAGACUAUAUCAAUGUGAGUUUUGCAUGCUUUUAAUAUCUCUACUAAGAAUCAGAACUUUUUUUCCUCUGGUGUUAUUUUAGAUUAGGUGCCUUAUUGUUCACUUUUUUCUUCUCAGGAACGACAAGAGGAAGUAGAUCAGCUUUUGGACAGAACUCAAUUAGAAAUGCACGCAGCAGUUCAGUCCGGUGGACGUUCACCUAAACCACUUAAUGGUCCAUCAAGCACACAACAGUUAAAAUCUAGUUCAGAGAGUGAUCAUAAUACUGGCCCUUCUCUCCCGUUUCAAUCGAAGUUGAAGAAGAGAGACAGGAGUGAUCAGGGCACAGAGCAUAUCAAGAGAGAGCGGUCUUCUAAACCAGAUGAUGGUGAUUCAUGUAAAUCUGAUAACAUGAUGAAGGCAGAAUUAGUCAAAAUAACAGAAAAAGGUGGACUUAUAAGCACCGAAGGGGUUGAGAAAUUGGUGAACUUAUUGCAGCAUGAUAGACCCGAGAAUAAAAUAGAUGUUUCUGGUCGGAUACUGGUUGCAAAUGUGAUUGCAGCCACUGAUCGUUAUGAUUGCCUUGGCAGGUUUGUGCAGCUUAAGGGUGUGCCAGUCUUGAAUGAUUGGCUCCAGCAGGUGUACAAGUCUAAGGCUGGUGAUGGUACUAGUCAUAAAGAAAGUGAUAAAGCUGUUGAGGAGCUUCUCUUGGCUCUUCUUUGUGCACUGGCUAAAUUGCCUGUCAACCUUAAUGCUCUGCAGGCUUGUAAUAUUGGUAAAUCUGUGAAUCACUUGCGGAGCCAUAAAAAUCCUGAAAUCCAGAAGAAGGCUAGGAGUCUUAUUGACACCUGGAAGAAACGAGUUAAUGCCGAAAUAACAAAGAUCAAUGAUGCCAAAUCUGUUGGAUUAGGCCAACCUGUUUGGCAAGUUAAGUCAGGUUCUUCUGAUGUUUCUCAUGUUGGAAACAGACGAUCUGGACCAACUGAUGUGGUUUCUAAGAGCCCUGUAACUCAUACUGCAUGUAAGUCUAGUAAGCCUGGACAUUCAGAUCCUAUUGUGAAGUCACCUUCAGCAACACAAGGGUCUUCGAAAGCAACAUCUAUUGCAACUGGCUCAAAGGAUUCACUUUGCAAAGCAGCUCAUCACAGUGGGGGUACAGAGAUGACACCAACAGCAGUCAAAGAGGAGAAGAGCAGUAGUUCCAGUCAUUCUCAGAACAAUAGCCAAUCUUGUUCUAGUGAUCAUGCAAAAACAGUGGGUUCCUCAUGGAAGGAAGACACAAGGAGUUCAAGUGCUGGGUCAAUUAAUGCUACUAAGGCCGCUGGUGCUUCAUCCCGUCAUCGAAGAUCGAGCAAUGGGGUUACUGUGACUAGUAUUUCUGGAGUUCAGAAGGAAACUCAUCCAAGUAAAUCUGGUUCUCUCAACCGAGCUGCAACAUUGGAAAAAUCAUCACAAUCAGGACUGACAUGUGAAAAACCAAUUGAUAUGCCUGCUGUAGAUCAUGGAAAUAACCACAGGCUUAUUGUCCGGCUUCCUAACCCUGCUCGAAGCCCUGCACGAAGUGCAAGUGGAGGUUCAUUUGAUGAUCCAUCAAUUUCCGGUAGCAGAGCAUCCUCUCCUGGGUUCUCAGACAAACAUGAGCACAGUGAUCGUAGAGUGAAGCCAAGGGUUGAUGCUUAUCAAUCUAACAUUGUCAUGGAUGCUAAUACAGAGUCAUGGCUGAGCAAUGAUGUAAAAGAAUUGCCAGUUGGAGCUGGAGGUGUUAGAUCACCAGCAGCUGAUGAAGAACACAUCAGGAGUGCUGGGGAAACUGGAAAGGAUACUGAGGCUCCAGGAGCUGCGUGUUCAUCUUCUGGAAAUGAAAAGGGUGUUUCCUCGACUGAAACCAGGACAAGAAGUUCUUUAAGUUCUAUAAUUGCCUUGAUUGAAAGUUGCGUCAAAUACUCUGAAGCUAGUGAUCCUUCAGCUGUUGAAGAUGAUGUUGGGAUGAAUCUGCUUGCUAGUGUGGCAACUGGAGAAAUCUCCAAGUCUGACUUAAUUUCUCCCACUGGCUCAGCUGGGGCAUCACCUGGGGCCGAAGACCCAUCUACAGAGGCCAAGUCAAGGUUAUCAAGUGCUGAUGAUUUGGCCCAGAGUCAUAUUGAAUUAGAUGAAGCCGCAGAUGCCGACUCCAUUAAGAAAGGGAAGAGUGUCAAUUCUAUUUCAACUGGGGAUGUUCCAUGUCAGGAUGGGACCAACUUUUUGGGAAACAGUGGAAAUGAUGUCUCCUUGCAGGAUAAUAAAUUGACAGGUGAGGAGGCUGAACAAUCUGCUUCUGGUUUGAGUUCUCACAAAACUAAAGACUCUUGUCCCAUACCUAAGCCGAAACUCGAGGAAGAAAGAGAUGGAAAUUUUUUGGUGUCCAAGUCAGCUGGAUUGGGGAAGUGGGAUAAUGAUGGAGUCCGUCCACUCGAGGAAAAGCAUAUAACAGGUUUGGACAAUUCUACUGAUUGCAAGCUUAAAGAAAGAAGCUCAAUGGAAGAUGAAAGCAAACCUAGGGAAUGUGCUCGUCAGAAGAUUGGAGAUGACAGUAUAUGUACCUUUGAGGUUGCUAACAAAGAUGGAUGUGAUCAUGACAUUGCUGCUCCAGGUAUCAAGAUAGAAAAGCUGGUCAUUGAGGAAUGUCAAUCAGGCCUUACUGCAAAAGUAGUGCCUGAGGUUGCACCCCAAUCUUGCCAGCAACAACCUCAGAUGCCUGUGAUUGUGGAGAGAAGUGAUAAUGAUGCUAUUUCAUCUGGUGUUCCUGAUGUUGCAUAUCCAGAAAAUGCUGAUGGGUCAAAGACUUCCAAGCCUGAUAACGUGGGGGUCAAUCACUUUGAGUCGAAUGAUAAACAUGAAUGUGACAGCCUCAACCUGUCUAAACUUGAUGAAUCAGUUAGACUAGCAACCACCUCCUGCAGUACUGCUUGUGCAGCUGAAGAUUUGAAAAUAAAGGAGUCUCUUGAAAGUUUAACUGUGGGAUCAGCCAGUCAAGAACCACCCUCAAGUUGUACAGCCCAAGAGAUGGAGAACCAAUCAAAACCUGCUGGUUCUAGGUUCUCGGGGGCUUUUGCGGAUGUGAAGGAGGAUCUUGCAUCAUCCCUGGAGGCCUCUUCAUUGGCUGUUAAAGCUGUGCCAGAUGUUGCUAGUAAGCUUGACUUUGAUUUGAAUGAAGGCAUCACCGGAGAUGAUGGAACCCAAGUUGAGACUUCUGUCUCUAUUUCAACCGUGUGUUCCUCUAUAGGUCAUUUGCCCAGCCUGUCUCUGUUCUCAAAUUCCAUGUUGACCGGGUUGCCUGCUCCAAUUACAGUAGCUGCACCAGCGAAAGGACCUUUUGUUCCACCUGAAAACUUAUUAAAGAGCAAGGAUGAGCCUGGAUGGAAAGGCUCGGCCGCCACUAGUGCUUUCCGGCCAGCAGAACCACGUAAAGUUCUGGAGGUGCCACUCAAUACUUCUGGAGUGUUGCUACCAUCUGAUUCUGCAGGAAAGCAGUGUCGUCCUCCUCUCGAUAUUGAUCUGAAUGAACCUGAUGAGAGAGCUCUUGAAGACAUGGCCACUCAGAGCUCUGCUAAGGCCAUGGGCUCUGAGCUGGGGACAGUGGGCAAUCUUGAUGCACCUGGACGAAUUUCUGGGGGACUUGAUCUUGAUCUAAAUAGGGUCGAUGAAGGUAUGGAAAGUGGCCAGUUCUUAGUGAGCACCUCCCAUAGGAUGGAGGUUCCACUUUUUGCCAUAGGACAAGCAUCAACGGAAUUUCCUAAUAGGGAGGCCAAUAUGUUAAGGGACUUUGAUCUAAAUAAUGGACCGGGCCUCGAUGAAGUUUGUGCUGAACCUGUAACGAGGAACCAAAAUACAAGAAGCACUGGUAGUGUGCCAUUCUUACCCGCAGUUGCUGGUGUCAGAAUGAAUCCUCCUGAAUUGGGUAGUGUAUCAUCGUGGUUUCCUCCUGGUGGUUCUUAUCCUGCUGUUGCUAUACCAUCCUUCUUGACCAACAGAGGAGAGCACCCUUACCCAAUUGUUGCAGCUGCAGGAGGCCAAAGAAUUUUGGGGCCAGUUACAGCUAGUGGUCCCUAUGGGGGAGAUGUUUACCGGGGCCCUGGGCUUUCAGCAUCUCCAGCCAUGGCAUUUGCUCCUGCUACGGCAUUUCCUUAUGCUGGGUUCACUUUCGGGUCCAAUUUUCCGCUUGCAUCAACUUCGUUUUCAGGUGGAUCGGCAACCUUUGUCGAUUCUUCGUCUGGAGCUGGUUCAGGUUUCCCUGCCAUUCCUUCGCCACUUGUUGGACCUGCUGGUGGCAUUUUAUCCAAUUAUCCGAGGCCUUAUGCGAUAGGCCCUCCUGAGGGUAGUGCCAGUGGUGGAUCCGACAACAGCAGGAAAUGGAUUACAUCAGCACUUGAUCUUAAUGCAGGUCCAGGAAAUGCAGAAGGAAAGGAUGACAGAUUGCCCUUGCCAUCGAGACAACUAGUUUCAAACUCCCAGGCUUUCAUGGAGGAACAGGUAAGAAUGUAUGCGGUGGCAGGAGGGGGUCUGAAGAGGAAGGAACCUGAGGGAGGUUGGGAUGCAGAUAGAUCUGCUUACAAGCAAAUCUCAUGGCAGUGAAGAGAUUUUAGAAGCAGCAAAUCAGUAGCAGUAUCCAAAUACAGUAAGCUGUCUUAUGUUCUUGUUGUAUAUGGUGUGAUUUGUGUUCAUGAGUGGUCUAUUCUAGACUAUAAUAAAUGAUUUAUCCUUGUUUUGCAGGCACACACAUAUGUGGAAUUCCUUGUAUUGGUUUGCACUAAGUUAUGCACUUAAAGCCGCAUGUGUCCUGAUGUUUCUUGAGGAAUAUGUGGAAAUCUUUCAGAGGAUUCUGAAACUUGCUGUAUUUCCUGUAAAUGUCGACACUCGUUGAAACAAAUUUUCAUGAGUUCAGCACUUUUGUCUUACGUUGCUUUAGCAUGUUCCAGCGUGUUUUCUGGGGAAACCCCUUGCAGGACGACGACAUUACUUUUGUCGAGUCUUUUUUAUUUAUCAUCUUAUCCAUUGGAGCCACUGCAAUCAGGUGCUUUCUUCUCUCAAAGGAUGUUAUAUGUUCAUGAUCGGUGGCUACUGCAGCUUACUAUGCUGCCUGCCUUUGCUGCUUCAUGGAGUUGACAAUUUCUGCUAUAUGAGUUGAAUAGUAUGCUAUCUGAGCACUUCAGUAUCACUUUAUUGAAUAAAUGCUAUCAUACAAUUCUGUUGUCAAGUUUUGUCACUCGAAACUUAGUGGAUCAAUUGGCAGCCAGCAACUGCCUGAGUUGCAUUAGUCAUUCUUUCUCCCUUUCGAGCAUUUUAGUGCAUGGGUCAGUGACUUCCAUAAUCUUUAGUACUCGUUAAGCUUCUUGUUUCAUUUAGUUGGUGCAUGAGAAGGUUGAUGGUGUCUGUUCUGGUACCUGUUGGAUCAUUUAUGUGAGCUGCAUGUUUGUUCAUGCGGCACCCCUGUUUGUGUUGAUUCCGAGUCUUACCUCUCUCUCUCUCUCUCUCAGCAAUCAAAACACUCAGGUUUAUCUGAUGCAAUUGCUGUAAUCUUAAUUCCUUGUCUUUUGGCCAUCAACUGUCGGGAGCUACAUUGAAUAUGAGACAGACUGCAUCGACACUGUCCGUCUUUUCGUCGAGCACGUGGAAGGCAAAGAAAGUGGCAGCGAAAUCUACAAGGAUGAGCAUAGAAAUCAUCAACCACGGACAGAAAGCACUACACCCCCACGGCCACGGGCAUCAUCUGAGUCACCGUCGAAAGGCGAGUCCCAUCGCCGGGCCCCCGGGGCAGACCACUUGGUGCGCACAAAAAUGUGUCGACGAAGGCAUGACAAAGACGAAGGACAUGAUGAUGCCCGUGAUGCGAUACUUGUGUCUUCUUCACUACUUCAUUUAUUCCCUCCUGUCCCCUUCAUGUCCUUCGCCUUCUGACAUCCUCCAGCCAUAAAGACAAAAGAAAGGGAGAGAUAGAGAGAGAUUGGUCCACCACGCAACACGACCUUCUUUCCCAUCACAUGUGGUGGAAGCCGGUGACGCGACGAUGGGGCCGAUCCAACCAAGGCUGAUGGUGGAUUUGUUUCUUGAGGGGGUGAUGGGCUCACAUGCAGACGUAUGUCGGCUUCUCGGCAUCAGCCACAUGACCUGACGUUUGUGCGAGAUCCAGAUCUUACUUGCCGCGCCACCGUCACAUGGGGGUGUUGGACGACCUGCACGCGUCUCGAGGCUACCGUUGCCUUCUGCCUUCUCCAACACGUUGGAUGCACGGGUGGGGCAGCGGUGACGACAAUGGUGCCAUCAGCGGCAUGGAAAUGGGGCUUUGGAUUCCGACAUUGCAUCUAUCAUAAAUAUCUUUGACUGUCAUCUAUCUAUCUCUUCCUCCGUAUGGACAAUGUUAUUACUUUUACAUCAUCUUCGUUCCAUCUUUGCUCGCCUAGUCACAUUUAGUCUUUUGACUCUGUUGCUUAGUUCUCCUUUGUGAAAUCUUAUCAUGUAGUUUUAUCGUUUUCAUUCCAUCGUGACUUUCUUCGACGGACCCAUCACGAGGUCCCAUUAUUUUUUCCUCAUUUUCUUCGACCUCAUCAUUAUCUUUCUCUUCUUCGUGAGGUCUUAUUGUUCUUGCCUUCAUUCAUCACAUUGAUUGCCUCCGUCUCGCCAUUUUUAUCCUGUUGCUUCGAUCGUGCCAUCACCAUGACGAAAGGAGAAACCGAACCUAAAACGCUGUGGAUGUUUGGUUUUGCUUGCAAGUUUUGCUCAUCGCUUCAGCUUCCACGAGACCAUAGGAUGGUGUCUUCUGAGAGCUUCUUCUGUGGAGUUGCAGAUCUCCUCUUUGCACCACGCAAACGCAUACCAUGAGAGCAAUGAAAGUGGGGAGCAAGCUGGGAACGAUUUGAAACAAAAUCGACACAUUUGUAUCGUUAGAAAGUAGUAUUGCAAUCGAGAAGCACUCGUAUCAAAGAAGCGUCCCAUCUAACUUGUUGGAUAACAUUAGGAUUCAUUCUUAGAAAAAGGAAAUUAUAUUGUAAAGUCUGUGAUACAAAUUGAAGAGCUGAUCGAUCAGCAGCAGCAGCAGCAGCAGCAGGAAACAUAAAAGAGGAAGACUAUCAUCUACUGAAAUGAGCCAAAGACCCCUCAAUUCUCCCACCAUUCCCUCAGAGCUCGGGGAUAUACAUAAAUAAAAUCAUUAGCAGCUAUUAAAAGCCUUAAAGCGAUGGCCUGAUUGAAUAGUUGCGAUGCUUAUCAUCAUUUCGAUUAGUUUAACGAUACUAGAAGGAGGUAGCUAUAAUACUGAGAAAGAACUAUCGAAAUGGAAGCCUAAAAUUUUCCUGAAUAGAAUCCUAAAAAAAUGAACAAAAAAGACAUGAUUUGUUGAACGAGGGAAGACAGUGCCUAAAAUUUCUUAGAUAGUGCCAUGUUAACGAAGGAAGAUAUGAUUUGUUGAACCAAAAUAAAAAAAAGAAGAGAGAGUAUUUAUUUAUAAAUCAAUUGGAAGACUCUCCAUUAAUGACAUAAGCAAGCAUAGAUCCAAUCAAUAAAUUGGGUUGGAAAAUUCAUAAAGAUGGGAGUAUUCCUAAUGACUUCCCAGAACAUAGAGUUGAACCUUUUUUUCAAAUUUAAUUUAUAGAGAAUAGGCAGCUUUUACUUAUGCAGCAACUCAAGUCAACUAACUUAUUAGUUGACUUAGAGAUGAAGCCCUAUGAAGUUGGAAUAGAGGUCAUAGUGUGGAAUCCAUUGAAUGCUCAAGGAGAGUGUCUUUGAGGUCAUCAUAAAAAUCAAAGUGUCUUUUGCUCCUACCCAUUUCAAGAAGAGGGCUCUAAUUUGUAGUAGGAAGAAGAAGACUCUAAUUUUCAUUUGAGUUGAUUGUGCAAGUUUGGGGAAGUGGGAGGCAUAAGAUCCAAUUCAGGGGAUCAGAUUGCAAAGCACAAUCCAAUUAUUAUGAACUGGUCAAGUGGAACAAGCAGAGUCCCAUAGAAUCAAAGAUCAAAAGCUUCAGACAAUUUUAUUAUUACUCAUUUUGGUAGAUUAGGCAGAUCAAGUCUUAGGGGACUGAGGAUGCUAUCCUUUUUAUAACAGAAUGGCUCAAAGUUGAAUGAAUGAAUGGCUUUUGUUUAAAAGAAUGGAGCAUUUUUCUUAGUUUAAGAAAAUAUUCGGUCCAUUGCUUUUGGGAUUGAUAAUUAUAUAAUCAAAAUUUUAUAUGAUAUUAGAGCAUAGUAUAAGUUUGAGUGUGAUAUCUAUCUGUCUCUAUUUGUUAUGGUGUUUAAUAUAAAUAUACUUAUGCAAUGAGCUCUAUCUAUGUAAAGUCUAUUUUUUUAAAAUUAAAAAAUAUAUUAAAACUUAAGUGUGAGAGUACAAAAUGCUUGUGAGAUCAUAUUAAAAAAAGCUAGAGAAUGUGUGUAAUCAUAGAUGCUUUUUUUUUCUUCCUUAACAUAAAUCAAAUUAUCAUAAAUAAUACGUUAUUUUAUUUAAAUUAUUAACUUUUGUAUUUGUAUAGUGUGAUUAAAAAAUGAUUAAAAUUGAUUUUUUUAAUCAUGUGGAUAAGUUAAAAAAUUUAUAAUCGUAAUUCAAUCUAGCUAGAAUACUCAUGAUAGUAUCUAUUCAAUCUAGGUAUAUUGCAUUGAUGUUUAUUAUAAAACUUUAUAAUUCGAUACCCUUCAACCCCACGAGGACAUAUCAUCUUUAUCUACACACUAACUUAUAAUCUUCUUACUUAACAUCAUAACACGCUUCACAUCAAAGUUUCUUUCUAUUGCAUACUCAUUGACAAUUUGUUUGAAUUCUUCUAAAACCUAAAAAUAAAAAUAAAAACAUUUAUCUUAAAUCAUAUAAUUCUUACAAAUAACAAAAAUAACAUUUAUGGAAAUAUUAUGGAUCUUUUAUUUAUUUUUUAAAAAAAUAAAUUUUUGGGUAUAAAAUCCUCAUCUUCCACAUAUGGAACCAAAAAAUUUUAAUAUCAAAUCAUCAUCUUCAUAUGUCUCGAAGGCUAAUACUAACUAUCUCUAUCAUAUUUGGCUCUCCAAUACGGUCCUAUGUAUAUAUAAACUCAUCAACAAAUUCAUAACCAUAUAUAUAUAUAUACAUAUGUAUAUAUAUAUAUAUAUAUGUAUAUAUAUAUACAUAUGUAUAUAUAUAUAUAUAUAUAUAUACAUAUGUAUAUAUAUAUAUAUAUAUAUAUAUACAUAUGUAUAUAUAUAUAUAUAUAUAUAUAUAUAUAUAUAUAUAUAUAUAUAUAUGUAUAUAUAUAUAUACACAUGUUCGUUGAUCAAUUUAGUUUCGGUAAUAUCAUCACUAUCUUUAUUUUCAUUUGAGAAACAUAUAUCAUUCAAGACUAAUGUUUAUCAUAGAUCAAUGGUUAAGCUAGUACUUGAUUAUUUUUAUCCCCAAUAAGAGUGAUAUUAUUAUAUUUCAAGACUUGUGUCCGCUUGGACACUUAAAUAGAGAGAAUAGAGAAUUAACCAUUAAAUGGAGAAUACAUAAUUCAGAAGAGCAUCAUCCCCAUAAACACAUAUAGAGACAAAAUACACAAAGAAAAACAAGUAAUAGAAUUAGUUGGGGACAUUUGGAUCAUGGAUUCCAAAAAAGUUUCUAAAGCAUAUCUUUAUAGUGUUUUGAUUCAGUGUUUACACUAUCUUUAUUCGAAUUUAUAAAACACUGUAAAGGUAACAUCAAAACACUAUACAUGGUACAUUUUUAAAAUUCUUUCAUUCAUUAUAGUGCAUACCAUAAACACAAUUAUACUAAAAUAUCAUUUGCAUCAUGAAUUAUAAAUAUGUGAUUAAAGUAUAUGGUUACAAUGUUUUUAUGAAGUGUUCAUAGUGUUUUCUUUUUCUGAGUUUCUAAAAUACUAUAAAGAUAACAUAAAAACAUUGUAUAAGAAAUAUUUUUGUAAUUCUUUCAUUCAUGACACUACAUGAUUUGCAUAAUAGAUCAAAAAAGUGAUUAAAAGAUUUAGUUAUGAUGUUUCUAUAAAGUGCUUAUUAUAACACCCCUGAUUAGUACAACAUUGAAAGUAGGUAAGAUUACGAUUAGCUUAUAAGGGUAUGAUAAGUAUAUUACUAUUACAUUCAGCGUAUUUUAGUCAGGGGUUCAGACCAAACAAAGUUGAUAGGCUAAUUAACUUAUUAAACUCGGAUCGUGACAUUUGGUAUCAGAACCGACCCAGCAUUUCGGCAUGAUGAGGGAAAUAUUUUGGUCAGUAGUUUAGACCAAACGAAGUGGCUAGACUAGUUAGCCCAUCAGGCUCGGGUGGUGACACUUAUAGUGUUUUCGUAAUUCUUCCAUUCAUUAUAAUAUUAUAUAUAUAUAUAUAUAUAUAUAUAUAUAUAUAUAUAUAUAUAUAUAUAUAUAUAUAUAUAUAUAUNNNNNNNNNNNNNNNNNNNNNNNNNNNNNNNNNNNNNNNNNNNNNNNNNNNNNNNNNNNNNNNNNNNNNNNNNNNNNNNNNNNNNNNNNNNNNNNNNNNNNNNNNNNNNNNNNNNNNNNNNNNNNNNNNNNNNNNNNNNNNNNNNNNNNNNNNNNNNNNNNNNNNNNNNNNNNNNNNNNNNNNNNNNNNNNNNNNNNNNNNNNNNNNNNNNNNNNNNNNNNNNNNNNNNNNNNNNNNNNNNNNNNNNNNNNNNNNNNNNNNNNNNNNNNNNNNNNNNNNNNNNNNNNNNNNNNNNNNNNNNNNNNNNNNNNNNNNNNNNNNNNNNNNNNNNNNNNNNNNNNNNNNNNNNNNNNNNNNNNNNNNNNNNNNNNNNNNNNNNNNNNNNNNNNNNNNNNNNNNNNNNNNNNNNNNNNNNNNNNNNNNNNNNNNNNNNNNNNNNNNNNNNNNNNNNNNNNNNNNNNNNNNNNNNNNNNNNNNNNNNNNNNNNNNNNNNNNNNNNNNNNNNNNNNNNNNNNNNNNNNNNNNNNNNNNNNNNNNNNNNNNNNNNNNNNNNNNNNNNNNNNNNNNNNNNNNNNNNNNNNNNNNNNNNNNNNNNNNNNNNNNNNNNNNNNNNNNNNNNNNNNNNNNNNNNNNNNNNNNNNNNNNNNNNNNNNNNNNNNNNNNNNNNNNNNNNNNNNNNNNNNNNNNNNNNNNNNNNNNNNNNNNNNNNNNNNNNNNNNNNNNNNNNNNNNNNNNNNNNNNNNNNNNNNNNNNNNNNNNNNNNNNNNNNNNNNNNNNNNNNNNNNNNNNNNNNNNNNNNNNNNNNNNNNNNNNNNNNNNNNNNNNNNNNNNNNNNNNNNNNNNNNNNNNNNNNNNNNNNNNNNNNNNNNNNNNNNNNNNNNNNNNNNNNNNNNNNNNNNNNNNNNNNNNNNNNNNNNNNNNNNNNNNNNNNNNNNNNNNNNNNNNNNNNNNNNNNNNNNNNNNNNNNNNNNNNNNNNNNNNNNNNNNNNNNNNNNNNNNNNNNNNNNNNNNNNNNNNNNNNNNNNNNNNNNNNNNNNNNNNNNNNNNNNNNNNNNNNNNNNNNNNNNNNNNNNNNNNNNNNNNNNNNNNNNNNNNNNNNNNNNNNNNNNNNNNNNNNNNNNNNNNNNNNNNNNNNNNNNNNNNNNNNNNNNNNNNNNNNNNNNNNNNNNNNNNNNNNNNNNNNNNNNNNNNNNNNNNNNNNNNNNNNNNNNNNNNNNNNNNNNNNNNNNNNNNNNNNNNNNNNNNNNNNNNNNNNNNNNNNNNNNNNNNNNNNNNNNNNNNNNNNNNNNNNNNNNNNNNNNNNNNNNNNNNNNNNNNNNNNNNNNNNNNNNNNNNNNNNNNNNNNNNNNNNNNNNNNNNNNNNNNNNNNNNNNNNNNNNNNNNNNNNNNNNNNNNNNNNNNNNNNNNNNNNNNNNNNNNNNNNNNNNNNNNNNNNNNNNNNNNNNNNNNNNNNNNNNNNNNNNNNNNNNNNNNNNNNNNNNNNNNNNNNNNNNNNNNNNNNNNNNNNNNNNNNNNNNNNNNNNNNNNNNNNNNNNNNNNNNNNNNNNNNNNNNNNNNNNNNNNNNNNNNNNNNNNNNNNNNNNNNNNNNNNNNNNNNNNNNNNNNNNNNNNNNNNNNNNNNNNNNNNNNNNNNNNNNNNNNNNNNNNNNNNNNNNNNNNNNNNNNNNNNNNNNNNNNNNNNNNNNNNNNNNNNNNNNNNNNNNNNNNNNNNNNNNNNNNNNNNNNNNNNNNNNNNNNNNNNNNNNNNNNNNNNNNNNNNNNNNNNNNNNNNNNNNNNNNNNNNNNNNNNNNNNNNNNNNNNNNNNNNNNNNNNNNNNNNNNNNNNNNNNNNNNNNNNNNNNNNNNNNNNNNNNNNNNNNNNNNNNNNNNNNNNNNNNNNNNNNNNNNNNNNNNNNNNNNNNNNNNNNNNNNNNNNNNNNNNNNNNNNNNNNNNNNNNNNNNNNNNNNNNNNNNNNNNNNNNNNNNNNNNNNNNNNNNNNNNNNNNNNNNNNNNNNNNNNNNNNNNNNNNNNNNNNNNNNNNNNNNNNNNNNNNNNNNNNNNNNNNNNNNNNNNNNNNNNNNNNNNNNNNNNNNNNNNNNNNNNNNNNNNNNNNNNNNNNNNNNNNNNNNNNNNNNNNNNNNNNNNNNNNNNNNNAUAUAUAUAUAUAUACCAUGGAUUCGAAAACAGCAAUUAAAAAGAUUUCGUUAUAGUGUUUUCAUUCGUAUUUCUAAAACACUGUAAUAAUAACAUAAAAAUACCGUAUAGGAAAUAUUUUUAUAUUUUUUAUUUAUUACACUAUAUUCUGUAUACACAAUGGUCUGAUGACAUUAAAAAACGAUUAAAAAAUUUCGUUACAGUGUCUUCAAAUAUGUUUAUUUAGAUAAUAAAGAAGAUGUAUUCAUUACAACUGUGAAAGAAAAUUUCAAAUUUUUUUUUUUUUUUUUGGUCUUCUUAUAUAAAAAGGUAAACAUUAUUUCAUUGCUCAUGAAGAAACAAUUACCUCACCAUUGAUGCACAUUAUUUUUAGUAAGCCAUAUAGCAUAAUAUCACAUAAUUUUAUUGUAAUAUCAUGCAUUAACAAUAUGCCAAUUUAGUAUCAUAUAAUGCCAUACUAUAUAUAAUAAAAUUAUAUGAUUAGAUCACAGAUCUAAAUUAUGAUCCAUUUCUUGUGCCAGAUUUGAAUGAGACAUACAAAGCCCAUUGGGCCACCCAAAAUAGGCCCAUAUGGUGCCCAACUACUAAUGUUUCAUCCGAGAUUCCAGUUUAGUUUUGGAGGGGAGAUUUAUGAGAUGCCAAAGCAUUUUCUUGCAUAUUUAUUAUUCACGCUUCUAAUAUUAAAUAACGUACGAUUUUUUGUCGAGAUAGUAUAAUGUUUCACGAGUGAUAAGUUUCAUAUCUGAAUCUACAUGUGUAUGUUAUAUAUAUAUAUAUAUAUAUAUAUAUAUAUAUAUAUAUAUAUAUAUAUAUAUAUAUAUAUAUAUAUAUAUUAAAAUACAUAAUUUUACUGUAUAUAUACAAAUACUACACUUAUUACUCUUACGUAUAUUAUAGAUAUUAAUGAGUCAUGGAAUGCCAUUACUACCAGUCGUGGCACAUCGUGGUAGAUUCUGGUCAAUCUAAUGACACCGAAUUCCGCACUCGACGUGCCACCCAAUUGGCCGAAGCUUCUGUCGGUGGAAUGGGAAAUUGCGAACAAAAAUUUCAAUUGCCAUUAUAUAUAUAUAUAUAUAUAUAUAUAUAUAUAUAUAUAUAUAUAUAUAUGGAACAAAUUAGGUGAUAUCUCUCACUAGAAGUUUUUGACGAAGUCUGAAAAUAAUUAUUAUUAGUGCGAGUGAUGUCUUCAGCAGGAAAUAAAAUAAAUUUAUGAAAAAAAAAAUGGAAAAAAAUAGAGAGAGUAAUAUGCAAAAAUAAAAGUAAAACAAGGGAAAGACGGGACAUGGGCCCCAACACAUGGGACAUUAUUAUUUAGUAGUGCUAUUGACCCAAUCAUGUCGCCACUGCACUGGCAUUUGUCACCUUCUCCUCUUUCUUCUCCACCUUCCCAAGCUUCCCUUAAUCUCCUCCCCAUCAUCCACCACAACCCCAACACAGGAAUGGGCACACACCUCUACCACCAUCACAACACCCCCAAAACCCAUCAUCUCCUCCUCAAGAAGCUCAUCAUUUGGGCUCUCUACACCAUCAUCCCCUUGGCUCUUCUCCACUUGUACCUCUUCCCUCUCUUUUCUCCCCCUCCCCAACCAAACGCCACUCUCUCGCCCUCCUCCUCCUCCUCCUCCGCCUCUUCCACCACCACCACCACUUUUACCUCCUCCUCCUCCUCCUCCCAAGGUAUACCAGCUUCACUCUUCUUUCUAUCUUGGGCAGAUGUCAUGACACUGAUCUGUUUGUGUGUGGUUUUUGCGAUUCUGCAGCAGGAAUAGCUGAGCUGAAGAAGCGGCCGAGCAGGCCCCGGUGCAACUACUCCGAUGGCCAGUGGGUUCGACACUCCGGCGAGCCUCGUUACAGUGGCACCGGCUGCAAGACCAUCAAAGAAGGGCAGAACUGCAUGGCGCAUGGCCGGCCCGACACCGGCUACCUCCACUGGCGGUGGCAGCCGAAGCAGUGCGCGGUCCCAGCCUUCGACCCAGCCGCGUUCCUGCGGCUGAUCGAGAACAGGCAUCUCGCCUUCAUUGGCGAUUCCAUGGCCCGGAACCAGCUGGAGUCCCUCCUCUGCCUCCUCGCCACCGCGGAGGAGCCCGAGCUGGUCUACCGCGAUGGCGAGGACAAUAAGUUCCGGCGGUGGGUCUUCCGCGGCCGCAACGCGACCGUGUCCGUCCUCUGGUCGCCCUUCCUGGUGAAGGGAGUGGAGAAGUCGGAGGCGACGGGGCAGUACCACAACAAUCUGUACCUGGAAUCCGUCAACGAGCGGUGGGCUUCGGAGUUGGAUGGGAUGGACGUGGUGGUCUUCUCGGUGGGGCACUGGUACCUCCACCCGGCAUUCUACCGCGAGAACGGGGUCGUUCUCGGCUGCCACCACUGCCCGGAGUUCAACUACACCGAGAUCGGCUUCUUCGAUGUGUUCCGCAAGGCACUCAACACCACUCUCAGGGAGGUCAGCAGAAGACACGAUUCGUCACCAGGCACUUCCGAGAAGCUCGUGGUGGUGACGACCUUCUCCCCGGCGCACUUCGAGGGGGAAUGGGACAAGGCCGGGGCGUGCCCGAAGAAAGAGCCAUACAAGGAAGGGGAGAAGGAGAUGGAGUACAUGGACGCCGAGAUGAGGAAGAUAGAGGUGGAGGAAGUGGCAGCGGCGGCGGAGAGGGGAGGAGGAAAGGGGCUGAGGUUUGAGGCGUUGGACGUGACCAAGAUGGCACUGAUGAGGCCGGACGGCCACCCGGGGCCAUACAUGCAUCCCAAUCCUUUUGCCAAUGGAGCGCAGGAGAGGAUGCAGAAUGACUGUGUGCACUGGUGCUUGCCGGGCCCAAUUGAUUCAUGGAAUGAGAUACUACUGGAGAUGAUGAGGAGAUGGAAGGGUGAGAGCAAAUGAAGCACUUCCCAUCACUUCCAUUCCAAGUCAGAAUCAUUCUUUCUUCUUGUUUGUUUCUUGAUCUGUUUUUGUUUGAGGCUAAACGAUGAGAAGUUAGCAGAAGUACUGAAAGAGUUGUGCAAGUUAAUGUGGAAGAUGAUACAAAGGGGUGAAUUCAGCUUAGACAGACCCAUUUUUUGUGUGUUUUGUUACUAAAAGCUUGCUUGUUAUGAAUCAAAGAAGAGGAUACUGAGAGAAUUCAUGAACACAUAACAUAUGCUUAGAUCUUACCAGGGAAGAUUUUAGAUUUAAUGCUUUUUCUUUGGUCAAAAGCUGGUAGACUAUGGACAGUUGGAGUGCAAAAAGAUUGUGUUGUUGCUGUCAAUGAGAGAAAUGUGAAUGUCUCUGCUUGGAAAAAGAUCAGAUGAAGACCAGUACUGGUUCAUGGUGUUCCCUUGUUUAGAUUGGUAAAUGGAAAUUGGAGGCCAGUUGGAGCCCCAUCAAGAAGUUUCUUUUGAAGCUCUUAAAGUCCACACCAUGGAUCAUCAAAUAAUAUAUUUGGUGGAACUUUGAGUUUUUAUGUUGGGGGCAGCACUUUUUGAUCAAAUUCUUUGUUGAAACUUAAAUUUGUUCAAGUUGAAAAAGGAUUGGAGUGGAUUUCUUUAUGUAUGAUUUAUAGUUUUGGGAGUUCUAUUGGCAAUCAUAUUGAUGUUGGGCUUCAGAUUUCACUCAGAAAAGAUGUGUUGUUUACUGAUCUUUGAACAACCAGCUGGCAUCCCAUGUGAAGGUAUCAUGAAAGUCAUGCCUUUCUUAUGUCAUAGAAUAAUUAUGGUAGCUUCAACCAUGGGUCAUUUGAAAGAUAUUUCAAUGAACACAGAUGACAUAUAUAAAGAAGAAAAGAAGAUUAAUAUAAAUAGAAAAACACACUAGUUCAUAAGCAAAUUCCAAUACUAGCAAAAUAUAUCUGUGCCUUCAGAGAAUAAGAUUAAAAUGAUUUCAAGGAAGAAGUGUAAACUAAGUUGUAAGAACUAGUCACCAUAAUUGAGUGUAAAUUGUAAGAUAGGAAAUGAAAUUAUGCUUCUCUACAUGACAAAAUAGACCUUCUUCUAUGAAAAGAAAACAGCUGUGUCAGAUGGCAAAUGAGAUCAGUUCAUUUAUGCUUCUUAUCAUUGAAAUUUCUGCUUCACAGUGAGCUGUGCUUGUAUCUGACUUGGCUUUUGCUUCCUGACAGUAGCUCUUUGUGAAACUGAUAAGUAAACAUUAUACUCCAAUUUGAUUCUUUAAUCUGCUGCAUAACAAGGAUAGAACUUGGCUUGAAGCAGGAUUGAUUUCAUUCACAGUUUUCUAUCUUCUGUAGCUUCCUCCUGAUUCAUCUUCUGAAAUGGAUGAGCAUUAAGGAUUUGAAAGUGCAUAGUAUGGUUAGUGAUGCAUUGUUUUGAUGUGUCAUAACAUCCUGUCACUGAUCACAGUGGGGAAGGGUUGCCUUCCUUGAGAACUGUUCUCAGUUAAUGAUAUGACCUACUGCAGUAAAAGAAAACCUAAUUAAAGAAAGCAGGAUUAACACAUCUCAGCCCUUCUUCAGGCAGAACUCCUAAAACUUGGACUGAGCUGUGGUUGCUUUCAAGGAGAAAACCCAUUCUAUGCUUUGUUUCCAGUCAAUUAUUCCACAAGAAUAUAUAGAGCUUAGUAUUCAGAUACACACACACACACAAAGAAACUACAGUUAUAUUGAAGUACAUAAUAAUACAGUGAGCAAUAAAUAAUACAAAACUAUUCUUAAUCUUCUAUUAAUUUUUAUCUCACAAAUAUAUAUUGUUUUGAGUAUUGAUUGAUUAGUAGAACUAAUCAUGAAUAACAUACAUUGAAUUGGAAAUUAAUUCAACUUAAAAUCUAAGAUGUUAAAUUAUGGAUAAAACUUUAUAUAUGUUUUAUCAUCUGAUUAUUUUCAUCCUUUUUCUUCCAGAUGAAUAUUUUUCUGAUGUCGCUGCUCGAACAAACUUCCUCUGCUCAUAAAUAGCCGAAGCCAUGAAUGCAGUCUACGUUUGUGAUCCAGAUCUCAUGCUUCACAUAAAUCCACCGACCGGGCAUUGAAGAGCAAAGUGAAGUAGGUGGCAGCUGAUGAGCCUCUUCAAUGAGCACUGCAAGCAACCGGAGAUCACACUCCCCCAUGCCUCCACUAUAUCUGCACUCCUCUACUGCUUCAUCCCUUAGCAUCAUCAUCCAUGGCCUCCACGGCUGAAGUGUUAGUGGCGGUGAAGUCCUCGCCGGACAGGUUCUGGGAAGCCAUCCGUGGCUCCACCGAGCUCUUCCCCAAGGUCUUCCCCGAGCAGUACCAGAGCAUCGAGAUCGUCGAGGGCGAUGGCCGCAGCGCCGGCACCGUCCGCCUGCUAAAAUACGCCCAGGGUGAGCACCCACCAAUCCCAACCCCAGUCGGUUGUCCUCGUCGUGAUCCACCGUGAAAGAGUUGUUGGGUGGGUGCAGGAGUUCCACUGGUGACGUUCGCCAAGGAGAAGAUCGAGGAGGUGGACGACGCAAGCAAGCAGGUGUCGUACAGCCUGAUCGACGGCGAGCUGGUGAGCUACUACAAGAACUUCAAGGCCAGCCUGAAGGUGGAACCCAACGGCGACGGCAGCCAGGUGAAGUGGUGCAUGGAGUACGAGAAGGCCAACAUAGAGGUCCCUGACCCGGACCUCGUCACGGAGACGGCGACCAAGACCUUCAGUGCCUUGGAUGAGUACCUCGCCAAGAACUAGGAAUGCUAAGGCAGUGAGAAUAAAGCCAAGAACGACAUGCCUGUGUCAUGGCCGUGCUCGGCAAUGGGAUCUUCUGGUGUUGGAAUCAUCAGCUCUGUGCUCGUCUUUGGAUCAAAACUAAAAACAAUGGAAAUGAUUGAAAGAACAUCUAAAAUUUCAGUCACAAAGAAAAGGUUUGGAUCAGAUCAUAUAGGUAAAAAAAAGGUUAGUAGAUUUAAUGAAAUCAAAACAAUAAUAAAUAUGUCAUAUUCUACUUAAACGGGGAGAAGAUGUUCAAGUUUUUCUCUCCCAGUUCUAACAUCAUCUUCCAUUUGAGUCCUCUCUGCUCCUAACGAGCAAGCUUCCAGUAGUGGUACUGUGACAUGGACCAAAUCUCGAUUGAUCUCUAAAUUUCUAACAUGUCAAUUGUUAAAGAGAAAAUUCAUGCCGAUAUGAAGUGCAUCGGAUCAUACAGAGGAAGCAAAGAAAUCACUAAAUGUUGCAACAAAUUGACAGAGCCACAAUCUUGUUCUGGAAGAUCUUUAUGGCUUCCUCCUACCAAAGUGAUCAUGAAAACAACCAAACGACUGGUUUUUCCACACAAAGUUACUGUGCAUUGCUGAGGGUUUGUUGAAUAGAAGGACAAGAGUAAUAGCCAUGGGUCCAUGCUCAACAUGAAUUAUUGAAGUAACAAAGAGACUUACCAUUUUAACUAGUUCAAAAAUGAGUCCAAGAAUAGAGAAAAGCUAACACAAAAGACUGAUGAAUCUGUAAAUUUAUGAGCAAAAGGUUGUAAUAUCACUAUUGGAGGAGUGCCUUCUUUAUCUUUGCUCUUCUUUUACAAUCUUCUGUAGUCUGAGAGACAUGACAUUGCUGAGGACAAGUGCCAGUAGAAGACUACAUAAUGCAUAGGCUUUGUCCAUCAAUUUCUUGUGGUGGAGGCCUUCUUUGCUUGUUACUAUCAGAACCUAAUAUUGAACAGGGUGAGCCAAAUUUUUGCCAUACUUGCUGCCUCAGCAUAUAAUAUGUUGGGGAGAUUAUGAAUUGCAACCAAAUGAGACUCAUAGCUUGGUUCAAAUAUCCCAUAUCAGAUUGAUUUUAUAUACUACUUGAGAUGGCCACAACAUCUCUUACUGAGAUGAGGUAGAUUGACAUGAUAAUUACUCAAAUGAAACUCUAUCAAUACCCCUUCUUCUCUUACUGUCCCUUAUUUAGGAACAUGUAUGCAUGACCCUGUCCUUGGCAAAGCUGGCUGUACUCUUGGAUGGAUGACAACUUUUGCUACAUGUGUUUGGCAAUCUAUGGCUAUCAGGGAGAGGAGUCACAGGAUCAUGCAGGUGUGGGGUCAAGAGCAUGGAGGUGAUGUUCACUAGACUUUGGAUCAUGUGGUGUUGUCUCUCCCUUCCAUGAUCAUGUGAUGUUCCUUUAUUUCGAAAGGUCAAGAUCAGGGACAUUAAAGUUGUUAUCACCUCCGAAAUCACUCACUGGCCACCAUGCAAUCCCAGAAAACAGGACAGAAUCUGCCCCAUUUCUAGUGGCUCACAGACAUCUCUUCUUAGAUGGUCCAAAGACAAAAGUUCAUCACAAUGCAUUGCACAUCAAAGAUUGACUAGUAUGACAACAACAUUAUGAUCCUACCAAAAAUAAUAAUGGAGAAGAAAACGAGCAUUCCUUUAGACUUUUGAUAUCUUUUCAGUUCUAUGUGUUUUCAUCUUGUAAAUUAUGCAGAUGAUUGUGAUGGAAAGAGGUUCUCUUCAACUAUUUUGAAGCCUUUUAUAUGUUCUUUGGCUAAUCCUGAAUCAUCCUUUAUAUGAACUCGAGCAUAAUUAGAUUAUGCUACUCCAUCUACUAAUGAUAUAUAUGUGUGAAUUAUGCAUGGAUAUGAUACACACCUCUUUCUCCCUACAUUUAUAUGCACACAAUUCAUUAAGAUUUUUGUACAUAUAUGAAGACAGAUGCCAAAUGAAUAUUUCAUCUGUGCUCUUUACUACUCUACGGAAUAUUUUGACUAUUCUCAUGUCAUUUCUUAGAGGAAUAAGUGCAGAUUCCUUGAUGGUGAUAGAGAAAGAGAGAGACCUCUGUUGGAUGGAAGCACCUCAAUUUUUAUUUCUGUAACAUUGCUCAUUCAGUCUACAUAUUUUUUAUUUGUCCUCCCUCUUAGUUAUUCCCUAGAUUAGAUCUCCUUCUCAUGAAUAUAUACAUAUAUAUAUAUAUAUAUAUAUAUAUAUAUAUAUAUAUAUAUAUAUGUAUAUAUAUAUAUAUAUAUGUAUAUAUAUAUAUGUAUAUAUAUAUGUAUGUAUAUAUAUAUAUAUACAUACAUAUAUAUAUAUAUGUAUAUAUAUAUAUAUACAUACAUAUAUAUAUAUAUGUAUAUAUAUAUAUAUAUAUAUAUGUAUAUAUGUAUGUAUGUAUAUAUAUAUGUAUGUAUAUAUAUACAUAUAUACAUAUAUAUAUACGUGUAUAUAUAUGUGUAUAUAUGUAUGUAUAUAUAUAUAUAUGUAUAUAUAUAUAUGUGUAUAUAUACAUAUAUAUAUAUAUACAUACAUAUAUAUACAUAUAUACAUAUACAUAUACAUAUAUAUAUGUAUAUGNNNNNNNNNNNNNNNNNNNNAUACAUAUAUAUACAUAUAUACAUAUACAUAUACAUAUAUAUAUGUAUAUGUAUAUAUAGAUGUAUAUAUAUACAUAUAGGUAAUUGGAAACAUUUUUAACUUUGGUAUUUGAUUGCUGCUUAUUAGUGCUAUGAUGAGAUAAGAUUGAGGGAAUUAAUACAUAAAUUGCAAGACAUCUGCAUGGCAGGGCCAUAGUUGUCUCCAGGAACUGUAGUAGUUUCCAAAGUAAAAAUUUCCCAUUGGAAUGUGUUGCAGGAAUCUCGAAGUAGAUAUAACUAUUUUGCAUUGAAUUUGUUCAUACUCAAAUGAUCUACAAAUUUGUUCAGGAACACCAUCAGACACUUCAAGAAUAUAAUAGAGUAAUUAGGAUAAUUUCAAGUUAAGAAAACAUAUUCUUAAUGCUCAUGGACUUGAUUAUUUCAAGAUCAAUAUAAAGUUCCACCAUGAACUGAAAUAAGUGCUUGGGCACAUAAAUCUGCAGUAUGAUUCUACUUUGUAACUCAUUGCUGGAUGGCACUUCUUUGAUCUCCUCAGAGGAGGUGUCAUGUUCAACUUUAGGUUGGUGUUUCCGCGGCAUUUGAUGACAAUCAACUUUUUGAUGGUGCUUCAAUUAUAGUUCAUUAAGAUAAGAGAGAGAUUGAGAGCUCUAGCUAUUUUAUUUAACUCAGUAAUGGAACCACACAUCAUUGUUUAAGAUCUAGGCAGAUUGAUUGAGGAGAAACAACCACCAUCAUGUGUGUCUCAGCCUCCAAAUAGAUUAUUUCAGACAUCUAUGCAUGGGGCUUAUUUUGAUUACAUCAGACCAACCUGAAGAUGAUUUAUAGACAAAAUUAACUGGAGUAGCUCCAAAACUUGCUUUGUCAUGCCACAUGAACAGGAUAUUUGACUUCAGAUUCCAUGAUCAAUGCAUUAGUUGAACCUGAGAUGUAGCACAUAUGUCAGUGAUGAUAUGUAGUAAGAGAUAUGCAAGAAAGUUCAACUUAUUUUAAUGAUUCAUAUUAUCAAGACCACUUUAGUUGUGUGAAUUUUUCUGUUUGAUCUCUUCAGUAUGAUUGAUCCAGAAAAAGUCUACAGAUCCGUCACCUGAUCUAAAUUCAUUCAGGCUUAGGUUGUUGAGCUGUCUUGAUUGCUCAAACUGGUUUGCUGAUCCUGAAAUCCAAUUGCAAAACAAGUUGCAAACAAGCCUGCCUUGCUUUCAUCAUUAUUUGGAUCUUGAAGUUGUCUCAGAACUCUUUCUGUGUUCAGCUUCUGUCAUUUGAUAGGGACAUGCACCUUCACAAAUAAUUCCAUGAAUUUUUCUAUCUUGUAUCAAUUAGUUCCCACAAUUACCAUGAAUUCAUUUCCCAUCCACUUAUUUUUAUAUAUAAUCUUUCUCUCUCAAGAAAUUUUUUGUAGGCUUGAACUAAAGAACAAAGUGACAAGGCAUGGACACAUGAUUACACUAUAAUCACUAAAGUACUGGUUGUGGUUGGUGGAAUCUCUCGGCUGCAUUUUGUGCCAUCAAAAUUCCAGGGUGAAGCCUUUCAGAUUUCAUUUUCUUCUUGACCAAGAGAGAGGGUCAAUGGCCAUCCAAAUACUCCAAAAACAAGCCGAAAAAUGUCGACAUCGGAUGAGAUUACUGUUGCUGCAAUGAUUGUAUUCAGCUACUUAAUAUUCUAAUUCUCCAUUUGGGUUGAUAAUUAUCUUGCCAAGUGGAAGAGGUAAAGUUGGCCAUCUAUUCAUUGUUUGGAAGAUGACAUACAGACUAGCUAGAAACCACACAUAGGUGUUUGGUCUCUCUUUGUGGUCUCCUUUCAACGAUGGUGACAUAGAGGGGAAGGGACUGAUUCAUCAUGCAACUUGUGGGAAGGGUGCUUGGUGGGCCAGACACAGAUCUUUCACAUAGGAGAAGAAGAUAUGGGUUGAAGAGUUCAUGCAAGUUGCAGCAAUCUACAGAUAUCCACCCUGUGAUAAGUCCUACACUCUGUUUCACCCUUACACUCUGGUGAUAAGAAACUACCACAUCAAAUAAAUAGGAAGCAAAUCCUCAUUUCUCUUUCAUUCACUCAGUAGGCAACAUGAACAAAACUUUCAGACUGCUGCACUCCACAAAUCUGUACUUCAACUUCUCCAAUAGCCCCUUCAAAGAUGAUGCUGAAUCUUACAAGUAACAGCAUGCAGCAUAACUCAUGAAAUCUACAUUAUAUUUUUCUCAUGCUGUUCUUGCAGUAAGUUUGCAUAUGAACUUGCAAACAAGCUAUAUACUUGUUGAUCACCGCUACAACUCAUGAAAGCUACAGUAAUACUCCUGCUUAAAACAGGAAAAUAAAAUAAAAUAAAAAUCAGUGGGAGGUGUCAAGUACAAGUUGCUUUUUUUUUCUCAUCCUGUUUUGGCUUUGAGUUCUAUACUUUUUCAUUCCAGUCUUCACCACUUAGCCUAAAUAAAAUUUGUGAUAAAAAUGAAAGGAAACCUCAUUCGCAAAUGCUGUGAAUGCAGUUUUAUUAUUAUUAUUAUUAUUAUUAUUAUACUGUCACUACUUAUAAUAAAUGCAGGCCAAGUUGCUGAAAAGACAAAAGCUAAAGAACAGAAUGGUGCAUGAAUGCUUUUUUCUAAUCAUGGUUUUCUAAUGAUGACAAAAUCUUAAUGGUAGAUAAUAAGCUAAUGAUUUCUGUUUUCGUCUUAUAUUAAUUACCCUUAUGAAAAAAUAAUAAUGAUAAAUAAUACAUUAAUCAGUUGAAAUAGUAUUACAUAUUUAUGUCUCACAAGUAUCACUCUCAUUAGUAUCCAUCCAAAUAAAAUUAAAUACAAACCAUGGUUAUCAUUAUGAAUUUGAGUUUUUAUCAUUUUGUAAAAAUAUUGAACACCUAAAAAACAUUUAUUAUUCUCAUGAAUUAUUUUAUUUCUUUUUCUUUUCACUCCACGUUUUCAUCUUUGUAAAAAUUAUGUAAUUUACGUUAAGCUUAAGUUUAGAUGAGUAAAUACAAGGACAGGAUAUAUAUAUAUAUAUAUAUAUAUAUAUAUAUAUAUAUAUAUAUAUAUAUAUAUAUAUAUAUAUAUAUAUAUAUAUUAUAUCCUUGGAUUAUGUUUGGGCGCGUCAGUGACGUGGCAAUUUCUCCACACAAAAACCUAAGCGUGACUGCAUAGAAGACUUGGCCCGCUUGUGGGUCCCACCUUUUUUGACGCUUGCGACCUUACUGCCUACGAUCUAUCGUUGAUCUUAUAAAUCUACGGUUGUAAACGCGUCGUAUUCGAUCAUCUAUGCGCAGAUCCCGGAAGACGAUGUCGUCCACUCGCGUAAAGGUGUCGCUAGUGGUGCGAUCUGGGGCCCCUCAUCAGACGGCCUAGAUCAUCGAACGGGAGUGUUCUGGAGGAUCUAGUCCGUCCAUCGCUAUUCGCGAAACCCGAAGCAGCAUAUCGAAUGGCUAUAAAUAGCCGAAGAAGACGACGACGGCCUGCACAUCCUCUCCACUGCUGGUGUCUCUCAGCCUUACGUCUGCCCCCACUUUACUCUUUCCUUCUCUCUCAUCAUCACGUCCGGCCUCGAGCCGGCGAUCUCUGACUGAAAGGACGGCGCGGCCGCCGAUGGCCUGAGGGCCGCCGCAUCCGAUCAUCACGUCGGCUCCGAUCUUGUCGGAUUGGGAUUUAGAUCGUUAGGAAGCAGCUUGUUUUGUUGAUCUGGAUCUCUUCUCGAAGACUCAUCUAUUGCGGUGUUUUAUGUGUUCUUGGAAAGAGCUUUCAUUGGGCGACAGUUCUUCAAGGGAUUUUAGUUCUGGCGCUAUUUCGGAGAUCUUUUAUGAUUGAUAGUUAUGCUUAUUUUGACUGGUGUUGUUUGGGAGAUCUCCAAUUUCGUGGUCGAUUUUCGAGAGAAAAAUGGGACUUUGCUGAUAAUUUUUUAACUCGAGGUGUAAUUUUUUUGUUAGAAUGGAGGUGAUUUUGUUCUGUUUAUGUGAAAUUUUGAUUUUUUUGGGGCGGAUUAGUGUGUUGAGUUGAUUCUUCUUUAUUAUUUUUUGAAGAUUGCAAGACAUCUGUUUUCUUCUCGAUAAUCUUCAUAACAUCAGAUCAGAUGGCGAAUUUGGUGGGGUGAUUGGAUCAAGAUACGGGUUUUUUGUGGAGAAAAUGGCAGUGGCUUUCACUCGUUUCUCUGGCUGGAUCUGGGGUGGGAAAGAUUAUGAAUCCCCGAAUUCCCUGAGUGCUUCUCCUGAUCUCUCGUCGGGGUUUAGAGAGCCAGAUUACUUGAAGUUUCCGCCAGUUAGUGGGCCUAGGAUAAGGUCGAAUUCGAGAAGAAUUAAGAAGAAGUGGCAGAGCCGGGAAGAGCGGCGGAUCGAUAAGGAGUAUGACAUCGUCCUUGUGCCCUCGGACGGUGGGUGCAUGUCGGGGUCGGAAUCGUCAGAUUCCGAUUGGUCGAUUGGGUGGUUAGAGCCUCAUGCGCCUGAGUUCCAGAGUGACAGUGAGACCGAGAACAGCAGCUUCGCUGUCUUGGUCCCGUGCUAUGGGCGUGGUCGUUGUGAGCAGGUGGAGAGCUCCAAAACCCAUGUCUUGGGAGCAGUUGAUCGUUUGGACGAUGAUCUCUCUGGUGAGAUAUGGUGGUUCUACAUGUUGCACAAACUAUCAGUUAACUAUUACCGAUAUCUUGUAGUUCGAGAUAUGAGUCUCCUUACAUGCAUUAUUUAAUCUUCUAAACUUAGUGCUAGAUUUGUUUAAGUUUAUGUUGUUGCAUUGUUAAUGAUGGUUUCAUGCUUCCUUGUUAGACAAGUUGUGUAUUGUCAAGGUACACUAGAUUUAUUUCUUUCUUUUCCUUUUUCACAAAAGCUUAAGUGGUGAUGAGGGGAUUGGAGCUCAGGCCGUCAAAGGCUUUACCUAGCCAGUGCCUUCAAAGUGCACUAGUUAAUUAAUGGACUCCUAAAAGCCAAAUCUAAGGUCAUUAAGACAAUAUCAAGUUUACAUGAGAUACAAGACCAGGAGAUGCAGGACAAGGACAUUGUUGAUUUAUUUUACUGGACUUUUUUGAAAUAUUUCCUUCUAUAGUUUAUUUUUUGCUUCUUUAGGCAAGUAAAUAUGCAUGCGCUGAGCUGUUCUACCUGAAAAUGCCAUAUUUGGCAUUGAUUCCAUUUUUCAUAGCUCUAUUCGGCUGAGUAAUUUGCAUUCAGAUGAUUCCACUGUCAUUGAGGGCCAAAAGGCGUAUAUACCUUGAUUAGGUUGUUGGUGCUACUUAUUUUGGUCAAAUGCCUUGAGGUCUUUCACUUUAGUUGUUUCAUAUGUUAUGUGCUUUCUAAGAUCUUGCCUUGUUUUGGUCUUUUUUCCCUGGUUAUACCUUUUUCUUUUGGUCGUCAUAUAAAAAGGUUGAUUCUUCUAAAUGCCUAGGACCCUGCUGGGAAGCUCAGUAAUUAGAAUUUUCAUUUUCCAUUUGUUCUCGUAUAAAAAGCUUGAAUGUAAUUAGAUUUUGUUAGAUUCUGCUUUUUUUUAGUUACCGAAAUCUUCUUUCCUGGCAGCAAUUUCUGUCUAUCUUUUCAUUAUUUAAGCAUACAUGUGAAAUUCUAUUGUAAACAGUUCAUGUCAUUGAACGACUAUUCUAAUAUCAUUUAAAAUUUUAUUGGUGCAGAUGGCAAGAAGUACAUAGAAGAAUGGCUUUCUUCUCUUUGAUUUACCCAACUAUGUGAUAAUUAAUUGAUAGCUUGGCCUUACAAGAUGUUAUUGAAGAUCAUCAGCUUUUGUCAUUCUAUAGUUAAAAUUAGACAAAAAAAAGAGAAAAAAAUUCAGUGUGAAAGAAGAACAAUCAUGAAGCAAUGGAGUGUCAUAGCACAUAAAAUUCCUGCUGGAUAUUCGCUUGUGAUCUUUUUUGGAAGCAAAUUGUUUCUUACCAUUGGAAGGAAGGCAACUGGAGAAGUUAAGGUAGUAUUGGAGUUUGCAAUUUCAAGAAGCUUUGGAUUAUUAAGCAAUGGAAUGUCUUAGCGCAUAAAAAUCCUGCUGGAUACCACUCACUCAUGAUAUUUUGGAGUCAAAUUGUUCUUACAACUGGAGAAGUUAAGGUAGCAACUGAGUUUAGCAACUUCAGGAAGCUUCAUAUUGUUUUGAUCAUAACCAUGAAGCAAUGGAGUGUUGUAACACAAAAUUCUUGCUGGAUACCAAUCGGUUGUGGUAAUUUUGGAACCAAUUGUUUCUUUCAGCUGGAGAGAAGGCAACUGGAGAAGUUAUGUAAUGGAGUUUUGCAACUUCAGGAAGCUUCUGAUUAUUAAGCUAUGGAAUGUCUGAGCACAUAAAAUUCCUGCUGGAUACAAUUCACCUGUGAUAUUUUGGAGUCAAACUCACUACUGGAGGGACGGCAACUGGAGAAGUUACGAUGGCAAUAAAUUUUUGCCACUUAGGAAGCUUGAGAUUAUUUUCACCAUAACCAUGAAACAAUAGAAUCUCUUAGCGCAUAAAAUUCCUGUUGGAUACCAUUCCCCUGUGAUAUUUUCGAAGCAAAUUGUUUCUCACAACAGCAGAGAAGGCAACCGGAGAAGUUAGGGUAGCAAUGGGGUUUUUUAACUUACGGAUGCUACAGGCUACUAUGACCAUGAUUGUGAAGCAAAGGAGUGUCUUAACCCAUGAAACUCGCGCUUAUAAUUUUUCCAGAAGCAAAUUGAUUUUCACAACGGGAGAAAAGGCAACUUUAGAAGUGUAGCAAUGGAGUAUUGCAAAUUCAGGAAGUUUCAGAUUCUUUUGACUGGGGAUGAGAAAAAUUAGGAAUUGCGUUUAUUCUUUUAUCCCUCUUCUUACUGGAUCCAGAUGGGGAUUUUCACCAUUGCAUUAUGUACUUACUGAGACUAAACAAUGUAACUACUACUGUACAUAGGGAGCCAUCCUUUUCCAAUUUUGCUGUAAAUAUUAUGCUUUAGGAAGGCCAAGCUCCUUGUUGCUUUGUAGGGCAGAAUUCUUUUCCAAAAGUCAUAUAUGUUUAUAAGAAAAAGAUAAUUCUACUGCAUGGUUGUUGAAUUGGUCAGCUCUUUCUAGUGAUUCUUUGAUGACCCAACCUUGGAGUGUAAUAUUUCUUUUUGUACUGGAAACAGAAAAUUUCCAUGAUGUGCUUUCCUCUGGCCUCUGGACUUUUCACUUUCUUUUUUACUUUGUUGUAGUAAUUAUAUCUGCAUUUCCAUUGACUUGUAACAUGCUUUUAUCCUCUUUUAAUAGCUGUUCAUCAUUGCCAUCCUGUCAUCGAUGGUGAAGCUGCUUCCAUUGUCUUUAUUGACCGGAUUGUUUUUGGUGGUUGAAAUACUUAAUUGCAUCAUCACAGCUUUUCUGAGGAGCCACAUGAUUGAAGCCGUGUUUCAAGCAUGCUCAUGAUUUGGACUGGGCAUGCUCGUGUGCUACAUGUUGAGGAGCACCUUGGGACCUAUAUCUUAUAGACUAUGGUCUGGAUUUCUGGUACGCUGCCUACCUUUAAACAUUUCCUCUUCCUUUUAACUUCUACCGGUUGAUGCCUAUCACCAGGACAAAUUCUUUACACAUGAAGAAAUGUGACGGAUAUGGAGCAGUUAAUCUUCUACUUACCAUUGAUGCCAAAACAUGUUGCAUGCAGGGAUUAUAGACAGUCUUGUGUGAACAAGUUUGCAGUUUCUUAAAAGCAUUAUUUAAAAUCAUUUCCUCCUGCAACUCUCAUUCUUUUCAGAUCUUACAGAACUUUAGCAACCACAGUCUCACUUCCAUUUUCUCUUUCUUUUCAGAUUCCACAGGAAUAGUCAUUUGUGUUACACGAGAAGAAAUCCUAUACAUGCAAGAAGACUGGAAGACUUGUGUGGAAAACCACUUAACAAGGUAAUGAAUGAUCUAAAGGAAGAAGACUAACAAUGAGAGAGAUCGAUGAUGAGAAGAAUGCAUCAGCUGCUGGUGUUGCAAUGAGUUCUUGUUGUGUGUCGAAUGUAUUAGCUGAUCAUACUUUGACUGGAAUUGCAGAAUACGAGUAGCUGCAGGAGUUGAUGAGGGCCUGGCAUUCAUGCACAAGGAGCUUCAUGCAGAUGGAACUCUCUAGUCCCCCAGCAUCUUGAUGAACAACAACAUGGAUCCUUGCAUCACACAGCUUUAAUGACGGCAAUGCAAACAAUGAUCAACACCAUGGGGGGAAAGAAGAUUAAGGAAAACAAGACCAAGAUAGAUCCUUCACUGAAUGCUGCAGGCUUAAUUGUUUGACAGAUUAAAAUCUAUUGUUGUUGUAUGUUUUGUUUGUCAAACUUCCUCAAACCAUCAUAACCUUUUUAAGUUAACAUGAUGCAUUUUCUUUACCACUUAUGUGUAGGAAAUCAGUACGAUACUAUUGGGGUUUGAGUUUAGGUUUGGUUAUGCAUGUGAUCAACUUGUAACACAUAAACCAUUAGAACUAAAAUAAAAAACAUGUUCAGAGUCCCAUGUUAUGGAAAUUAGCCAACUUAGGGUUUCCAUUCAACAUCACCAUAUAUUUUUAUCAAAGGAGGAUAACAAUGAUAAGCUGCUGCUGUUCCCCAUCCCAGCCUUUGUUUGGGCUUGCAGUGCUGCCACCACCCUACCAAACUCCUCUUUCUGUUUUCAAUAUAUUUUUUGGAUCAUAAUUAACUCAUCUCUGUUUUCAACAUAAUGAACUCCUCUCUCUUUUCAAUGUAUUUUUUAGAUCAUAAUUAUUCCUCUGCCAAUAAGCUGUGCUUCCAGCCUAUCACCAGAGACUGAACUGCGCAAAUUCCCAGAAGAGACUGGUCUUGCUACUGAAGGCCGCGUCUCUGAACCCAAAAGACGAAGACCUCAUGCUAACAAGGGAAGCAGAGACCAGUCUCUACCACCCCCGCCAAGCAAAUCUGAGGACUUCCACUCUCUGAUGCAGCAGUACAGGCCAAACUUGAGGUAACCCCCCAUUUCCCUCACAGCUAAAGAUCAAGUCCUUUCCUAUCUUUCCCCAGGAUCUUGAAGCCCUCCUGAAGUAGUAGUCACCAAGGUUCACAUGGGUGAUCGCACUUGAUCUCACAAGAUUGCAAGCAUCUCAGCCUUUCAUGAACUGUUCUUGGCCUGUGUCCUCUUUGACUAGUGCAAUUUUGUGUUUGUGCUGCUCCUUCCCCUGUGAUCUGAGCUAGAUUUGGAUGCUAGGAAGAAGCGAGUUGUCAGCUCCCUGGUUCUUGAGAUGACUUGUGGUUGGUCUCAGAUCAAGGAAGGAGAUGGUUGCCACACCCUACAAAUCCAUUAGAGCUCCUUGGCUCCUCCCUCAACCCAAGGUUGAUGAUGGGGUUCUCCAUCACCAGCCAGUCUUCUCAAUUUGAUGCCUUUCUGAAGGAUUCACUUCCAUGGCCGUCAUCCCAACCCCCACCCCCACCCGCAUCACCUUCACCGGGCAGUAGGAUUAGCCCCGCAGUCCUGUUCAUCAUAGUCAUCCUUGCGGUGGUCUUCUUCAUUUCCGGCCUCCUCCACCUCUUGGUUAGAUUCCUCAUCAAAAAGCACCCUUUUUCCACCACCUCAUCCCAUCCGGAGCGGCCACAGGCCGGCGAGCUCGCCGGCUCCGACGCGCUCCAGCGCCAGCUCCAGCAGCUGUUCCACCUCCACGACUCGGGCCUCGAUCAGGCCUUCAUCGACGCGCUGCCCGUCUUCCUCUACAAGGAGAUCGUCGGCUCCAAGGAGCCAUUCGAUUGCGCGGUCUGCCUGUGUGAGUUCGCCCAAGAAGACCAGCUUCGGCUUCUGCCGGUGUGCGGCCACGCUUUCCACAUCAACUGCAUCGACACAUGGCUCCUCUCCAAUUCCACCUGUCCGCUGUGCCGGGGGGCGCUCUUUGUGCCGGGCUUCACGAUCGAGAAUCCGGUCUUCGACUUCGACGACCCGAGAGAAGAGGAUGGAUUCCCUAUGGAGCAGGAGGCAGAAGGUGAUGAAAUGGUCACCGAGAAGAGGGUGUUCUCAGUGAGGCUUGGCAAAUACAAGAACUUGUGCACCAGAGGAGCUGGGAAUGAUGGUGGAAGUGGCAUUGCUGAUGGUGCUGUGAGAAUGGAGGAAGGAGAAACUAGCAGCAACAACUUGGAUGCAAGGAGGUGCUUCUCCAUGGGCUCUUAUCAGUACGUUCUUGCUGAUUCCAGUCUCCAAGUUACUCUCCCCAGUGGUCGUAUCAAGAAUGGUGAUGCAAAGGGAGGCAGGGGAAGGCGAAUCAACGAGCAGUCUGCAAGCACUGAGGUUAUGGAGGGGAAGAAACUGGGAAUUGGGAGCAGAGGUGAGAGCUUCUCUGUGUCAAAGAUCUGGCAGUGGUCUAACAAGAAGGGAAAAUUCCCAGUGUCAUCAGGUAUUACUUCUCCUGAUGGGGACUUGUCAUGGAUUAGAAGAAAUGUUGGGGAUACACGAAUGUGAUGUUACUACAAUGCCUUGUAUGUUGUUCUUCAUCUGUGAUGGCUGAUUCGAUUCACAAUUCUCUUUUGUUUUGCUUACCUUUCAUCUCAUCUGAUACUUGUUUUCCCAAUGUGGUUUCAGCAAUCCUCAAGAAAAAAUGAUAAUUUUAGCAGCUAGUUGAUGAAUCUUAGAUGGUUAUGAGUAGAUUAACAUAGUGAAACUUGCUACUUUUCAAUCCUUUUUGGAGCUGGCAAUGAAUCUUAGUGGUAAUAUGUUGUGACAAUCAUUAGUGAAUAAACCUAUCCUUUGAAUGUUUUAAGAGACAUUCCAAAAUUUACAUGCCUUGAACUCUGUUUUCGUUUUGCCUUUACAUCAAGCACUCCAGCCAUGAUCCAAGUCCAGCAUUAUUUUUUCUCAUCCACAUCCUGGUUGGUGAUUUUUGCUUGGGAUUGCAUUCCUGAAAAUUUGAUUAAUAUAAUCCUUGAUUCCCUCAGAAAAAAGAUUAAUGUAAUGCCUCUUUAUAGCUUUAUAGCCUUUCUCUGUUGUUGUUGUUGCUGCUGCUGCUGCUGCUGUUUGAGAUGCCUCUUGGGUGCUGGUGUGACAGCACAAAGCUUCUGUACUUGUACCUUGAAUCAGCUGAAGCCUACAAUGGUCUUGUGUUUGUUGUUUUUCCUGUUGAAUAAGCAGACUGGGAAACCUCCCAAAAGCUUGACUGUGGAUUCUUGUGAUGAAAUCACUUGAUCUGAAAAGUAAGGUGAGAUAUGAAGCUCUUGGCUUGAAGCAGUUGUCCUGUCUGAAGUAUACUGCUAGUUCUUGAAGAUUUAGCUGAUAACAUCAAUGACACCAUGAGGACUCGAAUCUAACUUCUCAGAUGGAAAACAAGGUGACAAAAGGUCAAAGUUCAAUCCACAAGAACUGGAAAAGAGAUGAUUAGCAGUAACAGCUGGUGAAUAAGGAUGAAGACUCAAUAAGCUUUUAACUUGGAUUAUUAGAAACUCACAAGGCAUUGUUUCUCGACAGGACAGAGAAAAGUAACUCAACAAAUACACAUCUUAAGGCCAGGAAACAAAUCAACUCGAAGCAUUAAAUGUCAUGUAGGAUGCAGACUUGGGUGCAAAUCGAGGACCAUCCAACUUGCAUUGAUUUGGUCAUGACAACUUUGUGGGACUCGAGUGGGAUUUGAAAAGGAGGCAAUGAUUCACCUACAGACAACUAGUUGGUGCUUCUUACGUGAUCAAGUCCAGAUGAUCCAUUCGGAAAGUUGUUCUUUUCCAUGUAAGAGUUGCACACAAGAUUUGGGAAAGAGGCAGGGAAGUUUGGUGGCAAGUCUUCUUUUCAUUCAUGACCUUCAAGUUCCUGAGCUUGAAGUAUGCCCCACUUGCGCCAUAGUCUCGGCUUCCACCAUAUGGCCAUCGUUUCAACCAACAAAGCAUGGAAGAAAGACUAUUGAGACCACUUGCAUUUUUCUAGUCUGCCACUGGAGCUCUACUUUGCCAUCUCUUUCCAGAUUCUCCAGUGGCCCUCGGUGCUCGAAAGUAAACUGCGCACAACUCUCCACCUCUCCGCUGCCUUCAUCUUCUUAUCUUUUGUUAAAGUCAAUACUUUGAGGAAUCUUCUUUCUAUCUCAUUUCCUUUUACUCAUUUCACCUCCCUCUUUUCUCAUUUUGCAGAAUCUUCAGCUUUUCUUUUCCAUGAUCUCGAGAACAAAAAAAAGUGGGCAAACAACACAGAAAGUUGUCACAGUUUUCAGCUCAAUGCUUGCCUUUUCAGAAGCACUAACAUUCAGUAACUAUAAUAUAUGCCUAUCAAAUAUUAGCCUUGGGCUACAUUUGUCACUGUAGAAUAAAUUUACUGGUUUCCACAUAAAGUUGUGUCAUUUUGUUCUUAUGGUUGUCUGCACCAUGAGUGCCAAUUGAUUGUUCAUGGAACCCAAGGCCUUCCAUGAACAGGUACAGGGAAUGAGAUAAUUCUAGGAGUUGGUGAAACUUUUUUUAUAUUAGAGUAUUUACUUAUAUUAAUGGGAGUGGCAGGUAUAUUAGCUUGUCUUUUGUCUUGUUUUCAUGUUUAAAUACCCUUUCCAUAAUGAAACAAAGAGGAAAAUUAUGUGGUGUACACUUUGAACAAAGAGAUUAUUUUUGACAAUACUUUUUGGAGGAGCCUAUUAAACUAGUACAGUUUUAGAUUCUGAUUGCAGUCACAGGAUUGGAAAACACUAGACACCUCAAAUGAGAAUUAGCAUGAUGUGGGAUUCUAAUUUUCUUUCUCCUCCUUUUAUUAUGAGAGAGAAAAACCCUUUCAAUACUUCAUCAAGUGAAUGUGAUAAUUAGCAACAUCUAUUUGGUUGUACCACUAAACAUCUAUUUGUUCAUCUGAAUCCGGACUCAAAAAUCCAAAUAAUGUUGGAUUGGGUCAUUCGGAUUUGGGUAUCAUCCGAAUACAAAUUCAGAUUGGAUUGGAUUGGGAUAUCUAACUAAGUAUGCUUAAGCAUUAACUUGUCUAUUGCCUAAGGAUAAUACUGUGAUCUGCCUAUUUCAUGUAUUCUUUUUAUAUGAUUAUAUAUAUGCGAAGAAUGAAAAUGACCUAAUAGGCCGAGGAUGGUAAAAAGACAAACUUGCACUGGCGCUGGAAGUUUGACUUGACCUCAGAGCAAGCAAUCUGCCGGAUGAGAGCAUAAAGAGGCACCGAGGCAGUGUCCUGGUGAAGCAUCCCACAUGAAAAUGGCAGCAAAAAGGAUCAAGGCGCAUGAACAAGAACAUUUCUCAUUCAUGGAUGGUGGGCCACCAGAGGACAAAUGAACUUUAAGAUGAUGAUGCGACCAAAGCUGGACUCAGCUUCACUGCUUUUGUGGUGAGCUGCUACUGUCAAGAAUGCUGUCACUGUAAGUCCUGUGAUCAGAAACAGCAAGUGCUUGAACUACAAAUCACCUGGAAACAUUUGGAAUCACUUGCAUGCAGAGUCAGCUAGAUUGCUGUUGUGUCAAACCCCUUGACGCAGCAGCGUGCAAUCUCGGUGCCCCUCCGGUCCACACAUGCAGAGUAGGAGACAGCAACUUUUGUGGCUUGGCGGAGGAAAUGUGGUGAACAAGUUAUGCCACAAGAUAUAAAGCUCCAAGGUUAGUCUAUGUUUAAGGAUAUGUGCCGCAGCAAGGCAUCUUGAUCAAGAGAGACAGUGUGUUAUGUUUGUACCAAAAGAGGUAGAAUGGGCCAUGUUUCCUUUCAUUGCCAAAAAGAAUCUGUGUUGGACGGAGGCUGGAAGAGGAAUGGCAAAAUAUUUAUAUAAAAAAAAGAAAAAGAAAAAGAAAAAAGAGGUGUUUAAUUUUUGGACAAAUUUUAAAAAAAUUUCUAAAAAUUCUCGCUAAGCGUCCUUAUCUCCAAACAUUCCCACAUAUAGAUAGUGGCCAACUUUAUCUUUUUACCCUUACAUAACUUAGGAUUUAUUUUUCCACCUAGACAAUGACUUUUGGACCAUUAAGGGUUCACUAUUGGUUUGGUUUGAUUUGGUUCUAGUGGUUUAACAUCACUAAGGAAAUUGGGUCUACAGUGUAUAAGUGGAUGGUGCUGAGCUCCAUUAAGACCUCUAUCAUUUUUUUUCUUCUUUUCAUUUAUUUUUUUGUCCUCCAUCUUUCGUGUUUUUCUUUCUUUAAAUGCUAAUCUAUUCGUCCUUCUUUUUUUUUUCUUCCUUUAUUUAUAUGAUAAUAUUAAACAAAUACUUGCUGAAUAUGAUUGUAACUAAGAUGAUGAUAUGUUAUUAAACACAUUCGUUCCUUAAGUAUAAUGAUUAUUUAAUGGCUAAAAUCAAUAAAUAUACCUAUUUUAAAGCUUUAAAGUAAAAAAAAUCAUUUAAACCUUUUUAGAUCAUUUGCAAUGUUUCCUGACAAUUUGAAAAAAAAAAAAAGAAUCAAUAUUUAACAUGUACUUUUUAUUUAAUAAUUUAUUUAUAUUUAUUUAAAUAUAGAAAUAAUGUUAUUAUAUAUAACAACUUCUCCAUAAUAUGAUUUUAUUUUAUUUUUAUCAUAUUUUUAUAGUAUAUUAUUUUAAAUUUGAAGUUUAAAUUUUAUAUAAUUAUUUAUACUAAUAUUAGUUUAAAUGAAUAUAUAUAUAUAUAUUAAUUUAAUUAAUUUUAUUAACUAUUAUUUAUUUUGGAAAGGUCUAAUGUUAACCUAGAUCGUUUGGCAAUUUCACUCCCAACUCAUAAACGGCAUUGAUGUAAACCCAAGUUGGAUUCACAACAAACAAGACAUAUCACAAGCAAGUAAACAAAGAGACAAUUAUCCUCAACUGACAGUAGUCGACACUACCUUUCACCAAAAAAGGCUAACCUUGUGUAUUCAUUCUACUUUUAAGAUCCACUACACUAGAACAUAAUAUACCUCAAAGUCAAGAAUGGUUUAUCGCAUGUUCUGCACAUUUAGCAAAAUCAAGCUAAAAUCUAUCCACAUGCCUCAUACUUAUCACAGUACAUACAAUGAACAACACCAUAUGGCUAAAAAUAGAUAGCUCUGACAAACAUUUAUACAACCCCUAGAUCAAGUUUCAUUGUGACCUCUUCCCUACUAGCAAGAAUGAAUAAUUUCCGCACACCUCCAAUCUAAAUGCUUGGUGCUCACAGGCUGAAAGAGUGGAACUGGACAUUGUUAUUUGAUAGCCGAUAAACUAUACAUAACACUAAAUCAAUUAUCAAAAAAAAUUUCCCUUAAUUGUUUAAGAACACACAAAGAGAGAACAAGAUAGCACUCUUUCUGCAGAAGAAGAGGGUAAAUUCUUGUGGAAAAGCAGUUUAAAGACUCAUAAACCGGGAGGGAAAUUGUUAAUCUGUCCUUGUUCCAACUUCUCUUGGUUGUCAACUUUGUAAACCAUUCUAAUACGCAUGGCCAGGGGUUUCUGAAAUGGAAGAAGGAAUAAUUAACAAUGAUACUUCCAGUCAUGAUGUGGUUAUCUGGAAGUUAAAGGAAUGCAAAUUAUAAAAUUCUAGGCUAAAGUUGCCAAAGAAACUAAUUUAGAACAUCAUUUUACAUGUACGCAUUAAGGAACUACGACCGCCACAAAUUGUUGACUAUCACACUUAAUUUACCAGGUAGAAAACUUCACAAAUUACAUUUGAUCUUUCUAAUGGUGAACCAUGCCAUCAGAAAUUUGGGGAGUUGGAUAAAUUCAACAAAUAACAAACUCAGUCUCCUUUAGUCUAAGACCAACUUAAAUAUUGUUCAUAUAGUAUUUGAGUUUGUAGCACAUUACUAUUUAUUUACAUGUCACUCUGAUUAUUCCAUUAGCCUUUCAGAUAAUCUAUUAUCUCACAUCCCUUUGAAUUUGAACACAAACUUACAAUGGCUCACGUGUUAAUUUUGCAGCUUAACUUAGUCUAGAUAUACACUUUACAUAAUUGAUUUAAUUAAAUUAUAUUAUCAUGAAAUAUAGAUCUAAAGAAAAUUCAGAUGAGAUAGCUCUCGAACAUCUGGAGCUCAUGUACCUGUCCAUGCUGACUAUUAGUAACAGUAACUGUUUGUGUAAUUGUCCCAUUGCCAUUGGCCGGAAGAUGAUUGCUGCUGGCUGGGUCCAAAUGUAGCUGGAUAAACUGUAGAGUAUAUAAAUGUUAGCUCAUAAUGAGUCUUCAAUUUGCAGGUUAGAAUUCACAAAUCACCAAAAGCACAAACAAGUAUUAGGGACCUACCAAAGGCAAUUAAAGAUGAAAAGCAUAGCACAAACAAAACUUAAACUGAGACAUUCAUGAAUGAAAAUGAUUGCAUACACAGUCCAGCACUAUAUACCUGCAUAGAUACAAUCAAACCUAAACAAGCAUUUAAAAUUUUCACCUAACUUGUUAAAAGUGAUUUCGUAUCUCAAAUAUUAUUAUACAGUCAUCAUUGAUUCGUCUAUAUAUUGAAUGCUUUAAAGUUACAAAUUACCGUGUACACAACUGAGAGACAUAUAAGCAAAAUUCAUGUCUGAAGGAAAAUACCACCUUCCAACUAUUAUUUCUUAGUCUAACAUCAGUUUCGAGCACAACAAUUUCCAGAAGACAACCUAUCAAGAUCUUAAGUGAGACAAGUUCUUUAUAUGUUUAAAUGGACAAAAAGCAUGCUUAAGAAUGCUAAGAGUCCUAGAUCACCUCUAUGUCAACAACUCUAAUAAAUUAAUGUCGAUAACGAAUGCUCUUUUGAAAAACAAAAAGAAAAAGAAAAGUACCUGAAAGAAAGCAAACAUGACAAUGUUAUAUAAGCAUACAUACAACUAAUAUAUGCUGAGAUACCUUUGGCACUGCUGCUUGAAAAACAAAAUCUGUAUAAGAAUCAGAUGACAAAUUCAUAAAUGUUGCAUGGAUUUCAGUAACUUGUGGUUUUUCAGGAUGCUUUUUGAAACUGAACAUGAUCUUCAAGGUGCUGCUCUGGAAAGCAGUGAUAGAUGGAUAAAGAGGACUUUGAUCUCCUGUUCAAGAAUAAAAGUAGCAUUACCAUAAUUUUCAUUGCUCUAAUAACAAUACUAAUAAACAAGCAAAUUUACCUGCAACAGAUCCAUUUGAUGGUAACACAUCCAACAAAUCCAGUACUUGAACAGUGGUAGGAGUAGGUUUAGUUGUUGGUGCAAAUCCUAAAAUAAUAUCCAGGGUGGUUAAACAAGAAUACAAAUAUGUACAAUUAUGGUGUAUGAUUCAGUAUUUGAAUACUUAGUCAACUGUUACCUUGGUUGGAAGAAACAGUUUCUGGUGAAAUAUCGCUUUGAACAGGUGUUCCAAUAGAUAACAGAUCCAUAAGAAUAUCAGUACCCCCUGAUGGAGCAAUGCCUUAAAAAAGAAAAAAUCCAAUCAAUAAUCCUCCAAUUUAACGACAAGCCCAAAAGAAUUUAAAGUUCAAAGACGCACAAAAAAAACUGUUAGUAUGUAACUGUGGCACAUCCAUACUACCAAACACAUGCCACAAUUUUGUCAGAAUACUUGAAAUACAAUUAUUUUCUAGAUAUUUCCUGGACUUUUUCUUAAUGGAUCUUGAUUGAUUAAUGAUAGGAAACAUGGUACUUACCAACUGAUAUUUCAUUCCAACCAAAUACCGUCACAAACCAAACAGCUUGGUAUUCCCUAUUAUACGACUUUUCUAUUAUUUCCUUCAUUGGUACUGGAUAAUACAAAUCAAUAUGUCACUUACAGGUUGGAACUAGUGUUGGAUAGAUAUUUAAAACUUUGCUUGCCUUAAAAGAAUGGUGUUUACUUAAAGCAAUUGCAAUAUAUAAUAUAAGGAACAUAUACAACCAAAAUUUGAUUUCUUGGUAUGGACAUCAUAUUAUAUCCUAUCCAGGGGUUAAUUGUAUCUGUGUAUAUGUGACAUAUUUGUGGUCAUAUUAAUUUCCAUAUCCGUUCUUCAAUGUUAUAUAUAUAUAUAUAUAUAUAUAUAUAUAUAUAUAAGGUAGCAAUUAUCACAAAUAUUUGAAGCUUUACACAGUCACACCUUGAUUAAUGUUUAUAUAGAAAGAGCAAAAUAAUGUCAUAGUACUGUUUUUGCUUAAGCUAUUUGGUUUGUACACUGGAGUGCAACAGAAUGGGACUUCUUUUCCCGACCUCAGCCUGAAGACUAAGGGAACCAAAGGCUCCAAGGCAUCCAUUAGAUGAAGCUAAGCCCUUGCCACACUAGUACAUGUUGCAACUUGUACAGACUGAGGUUGAGCAGCAAGAACAAUCAGAAUAUAUGAUAUUCAUCCCUAGACAAAGUAACAGGACAUAUAUGUCAAUGCUAGCAUUUGGCAGUCUCUAUCUCUUUUGUACUUAAGGUUGUGAGAGAGAGGUGACCUGAGAGUAAGAUAACUUUCAUGAUGUAUGGUUCUAGCACCAUAAUUGUCUCAUAAUGAUAUAUGCCAUAUCUUAUGCUAAAAAUGUGAACAAAGUUGGCAUUCAUGGUGAAAGUUCGGUCAUCUUUGCUUGAUGCAACUUGCAUUUUUGUCAUCUAGGUUCAGUCUUGAAGACAGCUUGAUCAUUUGUCCUUGACUUUUUUUGGGGGGAUGACUAUUGAGUGACUCAGAUCUAAUAAAGAAUUUGAUAACAAAUCUGCAAUUCAUACACAAAUGGUUCACAAGCAAUCAGUGAUUUGCAAAACGAAAAAAAAAUCAGUGAUUUGCAACUGAUUCAAACUACACAGUGCAUUGUUUAGUAAUAAUUCCAUGUGCUGGUGGUGGCUUUAGACUUUGGCAUUUAGAAUAACAUUGAUGGAUCUCGACUCUGGCAUGCUUUUUCCAACAUACGAAAGAUAGAGGCAUAUACUGAUAACAAAACAUUCUUUAGUUAUCUAACUUCUUAAAAUUAGCUGUAUGAAUCAUUUGUAAGCAUUAUCUAAUUUCUUAUUUUCUCCGAACACGAAGUGCCUCUAAAAGCAAUUGUCAGGAAAGGCGAACCUAAUUGGUAGUUGUCAAAAUUGUCAAUAAUGUAUAAGAAAAACAAUUUGUCAUUAACAAAUAGCAAAAUGGAGGUUAAACUAAUCCAAGCAAAUUGCCAAUAGGAAUUCAGCCUAAAUAUGUAUAUUUACUUUAUAGAAGUAUGGAACUUAUAUAUGGAAGAAACUAAAACCUGAGGAUGAUGAGUUUGUCAAGUCAAUGCCCAACAGGUCAUGCAAAAAAUCCUUAGAGGUUGAAGUAGGAACUAGAGCAUCAUCAGAACUCAAAUCAAGUAAAUCGACCAAGGGAGCAGCAGGUGGCUUUGCGACACCAUUUGGAAGCGUAACUGAAGUUCCAGCUAAAGACAUUUGGCUAGAUUUAACAGCUACAAUGUUUUCUUGUGAAGAGUUAGCUUUCUUCACCAUAUAAGCUGACUCAUCCAGAACAGGCAUUCGCUCAACCAAAGAAGAUCUGCAUAUGCACCAAAGUUUCCAAAAUUAAAGCAACUCCAAGAAUAAAUUGUUCACUUUCUGAAAUUAAAGUUUCAGAAUAAGAUUUUUGUGAAACAGUGGUUGUUACGGAACUAAUUCCUCACUUUAUGUUGUCAUGUCUCUGGAUUAUAGAGUUGAAUUCAAUUGCUCUUUGUUGCAAUUCAAGCACAAUACUUCCUUUAUGCUCGGUGAUAAUCUCUUUUAUCCUCCUGAGCAAUUAAUUGAGAACAUGGUCAAUGCCAGGAAUCCUAUAAUAUCGUAAUGUAGAUAGAUCAAGUAAAAUAAUUAAGAUCAUGGAAGGAAAAGUACCAGUCUAGAACACAAUUCAGAUGACAACUAGCCCUUUCUUCACUCAGUAAUAUCAACACAAUUUUCAUAGAGUAGUGAUACCAGAACUAAUAAAUUCAAUUGCUAAUAGUUUGGAGAAAGUAGGCAUAAUAAUCUUGAAUGAUAUGAAAAAUUAAUAUAUAUUAAAAAGCCUCAUAAGAUACAUAGAACUAUAAAAUAUGCAGUAAGGAAAAUUGGGUAGGAAAACUAAAACAUGUUUAAUGAGAUUAAUAAUGGAAAAAGAAAGAUUCAAGAAACAAGAAAAGCAUUAUAGUGCAAAACUGUUACUUAUAUAUUGACAUGUACUUAAUUCAAACAAUUGAUUGGCAUACAUGAUAUAUGUGAUUGCAUGCACCAAGACCAACUAUGAAACUAUUAAGCUCUCACCUUAGACAUUCUGACACAUCUGGCAGAUAUACCGUCUUACAGGUCAAGGUAGGUGCAGACAGUUCCUCAAAGAUUCUGCCUUGUUUGGACUUAAUAAUGUACUUUUAGAGUUAGCAUCUUUUGCAGGUACACAAUAUAUGAGCAAUGAUAACAUUGAAGCUAGCAAACACUGCAUUGAUGUGACAUUCUUUUAUUUUUCUUCUUUUUGUUCCCUUUUACCUAUUUUCUUUCUAGGGAGGCAGAUGCCUAUAACAUAGCAUGUUAAACAAGCAAAUUUGAAAUACCCACGAAAUAGCAGUACUUCAACUAGACGAGAGAAGGUGAAUCAAGCAAACCUAUCUUUCUUCAGUUUACGGGUUCAUUAUUUUGUAAAAUGUAUUAGUAAAAAGGGGGUGAUUUUCUGGAAAGCCCUAAAUUUUGGGUUUUUCUCGGAUAGCACCCCUCAUUUCCAAAAUGCUUCUAGAGAGCUCCUACUUUUUAAAACGAUAAAAAUGUCCCCCACAUGUUGAAGCUUUAAUUUUUUAAUUUCCCACCAUAAUCCAAACCAAUCAAACUAGUUUGGCAUUAAACCAAACUGGCUACGGUAUUUUUGAAUAGGGUUUCAGUAUUUUUUAUUCAACUGAACCAGCUACCGUGUUCUUUAAUAGGGCUAUAGUGUUUUUUUUUUGCUAGUGAACUCAAUAUAGUAUAGCCCUAUUCAAAAAAUACUGUAAUUCAAUCUUGAUUAAUUCAAAUUCUCAUAAAUAUUAAUUAUUAAUCUUAUUAUAUAUAUUAAGGUUUCAUAAAAUAUUUUACUUGAGAGUUCUUAAGUGAUUUUGAAUGAAAAUUGAGACAAAUUUAAGAUGACCUAAAUUUAGGCCUAUAAUAUUUAUUUUAUUUCUUAAAAUAAUGAUUAUAAAAGAACAUUCUCAAUUAGAAAGUUUUUAAUGGACUUACAAAUAAAAAAUAUUGUAACUCAAUUUUUUAACUAAUUAAAAUUUUCACUAACAAUAAACAUCAACUUUACUUUAGGUUUGGAGGUAUUAGAAUUUGAAUGAUUUUGGAUGAAAAUUAUAAAGGCCUUGAUAUAUUUCAAAAUAAAUCAUGAUAAAAUUUUAUUUUUCCCACUUUGUGUUAAAUUUAGGUCUAAAUAUUUUAUAAAAAUCUUAUAACAUUUAUAAUUAUUUAUUAUGAAAAUUGAUAUAAAAAAUUAUAAGAUAUUAUCCAGUUAUAGUAUUUUUUUAUGGAGUUAACUUUUAUUCAGUAAUUAAACACAUUAUAACCCUAUUCACAUUAAAAGUAAAAAUAAUGUAACUCUAUACAAAAAUGCUUUAAUGGACUGAUUUGUGAUUUUUGAUGGAAAAUACAUUUUUAAAGGUAUUUUAAUCUUUUUAUAAGGGGAAUGAAUUUCCUUUGAGAAAUAUAAAAAUGGGGAGUGUGAUUCGGGAAAACUCAAAACCUUGGACUUUAUCUGGGAAAUCACCACGGUAAAAUUGCAUUUUCCCAAAAAGAAAAGCAUAUAAUAUUUAACAUUUAAUGCAAAGACAUAUAGGGUAAUUUACAUACAACAACAUGGAACAGUAACUAUUCACAAACAUCAAGUCAGAAAAAAAGAUAUAUAAUAUUUGUUAGUUGACAAAGAUUUCUUGUAAUAAAAUGAAAUUGGAACAUGUAAGCCAAGGUGCACCAAGAUAUUUAACUUUCAUUGCUUCCCUAAACAAAUAACAAUCAGAUGCGGGAAAAUUGUAACAGGAAAUGAAAUGUCUACCAUAUGCAGAUGUAAUAAGCUGGAAAAGAAAUGUCUACCAUAUGCAGAUGUAAUAAGCAACGGUUUAUGUGUUUUUCUUACAAGUAAAUUACAGGAGAAUAUGUUUGCAUUCUGAAGUUCUGAACAGUCAAACGAACAGAAAAAAAAAGGGAAUGGGGUAGGAAUCUACAAUAAUAACAACAACAAGCUAUAAAGUCCCAACUAUUUGUGGCUAUAUGAAUCUUUUCAAUAUCUUAGUUAAAUCAAUAGUGUUUACAUCUCUAUUAUAGUUUCUUAUAAAGUCUUUUUAGUGCUCUCUCUACCUCUCAAACCAAUAAUACUAAGAGUUAAAUCAAAAGAUUUACUUAGAAUAUAUUCUUGCUUAUUUUAUUCUUUGUUAGAGUUUCAUCUAAUUGUUCGAAAAUAUUAUAAUUUAUUUUCUAUUUUUUCUAGUAUCCCCACAUAUCCAUCUCGACAUCAUCAUAUAAGAAACACAAAUUUUUUAUAAAUGUUGCUACUUAACUACCCAAAACACAAAUCAAUAAAACGAUUGAUCUAAUAACUACCUUGUAAAAUUUUCCUUUAAUGUAAAAGAUACCAAGAGUAUAAAUGAUUAUCUUUUUAUUUUCAUCCUUUGUGAUCUAACAAUACCUAAAUUACUGAUCUUUUUCUAACUUUAGCAAUUUGAAAAAUACCAUUUU